UCUCUUCUCUCUCUGCACGUCUUUCUGUCUCUCUCCUCUGCCUAACCCAUUUUCCCUUCUUCGACCUGAACUUUAAGCCCGACCUCAAACGCACCGCCAUUGCUUCCGGCACGUUGCCUCCAUCUAUGCCUCCAUCUUCGCCCGCUUCUUCUCCGACCUCCAGCGCCACCGCCUCCUGUUUAACUCCUCCCGCAACCUCUGCGUUGACCAAGAGGUCGAGGUCCUAUGUGCGUUGACGAACCACACUGUUGCCUUCACCUCGCUAUUGCCUAAGCCGACCUUGGCGACCUUGGACCAACCCAGAUUUGAUGUUGAGCUAAUCUCUAGAUCACAAAUCUAGGGCUCGCUCGACUUCGAUCCAAAAUCUGAGGCUCAAGUUCGCCGGCCGAGCUCGAGCUCGGCGACGGAGGACUGAGACGGCAAUGAGGUGGUGGACUGAGACGGCGGUGAGGAGGUGGCGGUCGCGUUUGUGCUCGUCCCCGUCGGAGUGAAAGGAAGAAGAAAUUAAUAAUAAAAAGAAAAAGAAAACAGAUGAGAAAAGGGGUCAAGCGAAGGGGAGAGAGAAAGAGGAAGACGUGCAGAGAGGGAAGAGAGGGUGAGGGAGGGAGAAAGAGAAAGGGAGGGAGAAAGAGAAAGGGAGACAGUGAUCGACUUGUGGGGCCUUUUAUGACAUGUAUCAUAAAAUAAAUGGACUCGUUUUUUGCUGGGUUGGCCUCAGGGCUUCAGCCAAUAAUUUCUCGCAAGGAUUUCGGACAACCUGACGACCGACACCUCUCCCGCGACUUGGCAUCGAGUACACGCUGGAUUCGGCUGCUAGUCCUAUCGUAGCCUUUCUACGUCAUUGUGCUCCUACGUUAGGAGAAUUCACGUGCUAACCCACUUGGUCUUCUGCACCCCUCGCACGGCACGUGGCACUCGAGUUUGCCGGUAUCACUCGCUCAUCCUCUCGUUUCCUUUCCUACUCGCUCCAAUUGGCGUUAUUUGCUAUUAUUACACUCCACCAUCGAAUAGAAGAGAUCUUGGUCGAUGGCGGCUGCUCCUCCCAUCAAACAAAUCAUGAGACCCUAACAAGGGUGUUCACGUUUAUUUCGACCAAAAAAACUCUCUUUUUCGUUUUUGCCUCUUUCGUUGGUGAAUGGUGCCGGCUUGGACUUAAAUUUUGUUUGCUAUUACGCCAAAUGAACGAACAUCUACAUCUGAGUUCAGCACACAACAGUUCAGCACACAACGUUGAUUUCAAUGACAUUGAUGUGGGAAAAUACUAACAACUUCAACAAAGUGACGCUACCAAACCAUACAACUUAUCUAUGUGUUCGACCAUGAAUUACUUCGCCUAUCUUGCCAUCCAUGGUGAAAUGUGAAAAAAUAAGGAGGUUUAGAAACUAUUCAAUGCCACGAUAUGUAAACAAGGAGGUUUACAUCCUCCCCAUCUCCAGAUCUCGGGCUGUUUGGCAGCUAGGACCCUCGCUACUCGAGCCAGAUGGACACGGCAAGCCAUAUCCACCUGUAGGUUCCCUGUAAUUGCUGUUGCCGUCCUCAAGGUCAAGGUUACUCGGCCCGGCUCCGGUCCCAUCAUCAAGGUCAGCAGCAGAUUGAUGCCCUUCGAGGACUCGGGCAAUCUACAUAAUUUUUCGAAAGCUGAUAGUCAGAGUUCCUAUUUCCAGAUAACCUAACGAAAGCAGGUGCUAAAAAUUAAUUUUUUAAUUUCUAUUCUUUGGUUGGAUUUUUGAGCAUUUUUAGUUUCUAUUCUUUGGUCGGGUUUUUGAACAAAGAAACGCAUUUAAUAACGACUCCAAAACUUUUGUUUCUGAAAUUUGUUUGAUAACAAAAUAAAAUUUCUAUUUAUAAAGGGGGCAGUGACCGACAGGACACCAAACAAUAAGGCAUUCGGCGGUGCAGCGAACAUCCAGUGGUUCCCAUUGGUGGCGAAUGAGCGACAAGCGGUGACGAGAUGAACGAUAAAGAAAUUUUUCAUUUCUCACUUUUGUUCUAGAAAUGGAAGAGCUAAAAAUUUUAGCUUCUGAUUUCUGCUCCAAAUUUAUUUCUGGAAUAAAAAUCUCAUUCGGAAAUAGAAAAAAUGAAAUAGAAAUUGUGCCAUGUGCCCUAAAUCAAAUUAGACACGAGUCCUCGAACAAAAAUAGCAGUCAUUAGUCACGGAUGUACCAAGUGCACAUCUACGAAAGAAAGACUAAGCUCCUGCCACUGAAAUAUUACCAGACUCAUUUUUGGUCGACACCCUGCCGAUUCACGCACGCAAGCAGCAGCGCAGGCCACCAUUCGAGCCAUCUCACUAGGGUUAUAAUUGUUCUGCAGCCUAGGAUCAACAAGAGAGUCGAAGUUUCCAUCUUCCAGAGCUUGUGUGAGAUAAGGCCUCGUCUGUAAAUCAUGACAAUGAUUCUAUUUCAAUAUUGCGAUUUUGACGACUAAAAAACAUCAAAUUGGGAAUCCCAUAGUAAAGUAGCUUUGGGCUAUGAUUGCGAACAUGAGAAUUGCGUGACUUACCGAAUAAACCAGAUUAUCAUUCAAAGAAUUAUGUGUUGAACCCACAGGUCUGCGACCAGUAAUCAAUUCCAAGAGCACGACCCCAAAAGAAAAAGUAUCUAAAUUUGGGGUCAGUUCCCCACCUAAGGCGUAUUCUGGAGCAACAUACCUACAGGGAAGAACAUAAACUGUGCUCAAACAUAAUUGAACUAGUCAAGCCAUAAAAAUACCUCCCCCCCCCAAAAAAAAUGGAAAAACCAUGAAAGUACCUAGAAAACUGUGAUUCAACAAAUAAAGCACGAGGUGAACUAGCGAGCGAUGGCUCAUUCUACAAUCAUUUGGAAACAUCUAAAGACCGAUUAAUAACCAGUUCACAUCCCUGUCCUCCGAAUCAAAAUACGAACGCAGCAAAUCUUACCCAAAGGUGCCCACCGGCCUAGAUUCACCCUGAUUCGAUUCAGAAACCGAUUUUGCAAGUCCGAAAUCUGCAAUCUGAUAGAGACAAGCAUUUAGUAUUCAGCAAUCUACUUGCUCCGAGAGUUAAGUAAUUGAGGUUGGAACUAUCAACUCUCCAUUCUUAAAUUUAUCAAAUAAGUUUGUUUUUACCUUCGCCUCAAAAUCGAAGUUCACAAGUAUAUUGGCUGCCUUGAUGUCGCGAUGUACGAUCGUAGGAUGGCCUGCACAACGAAUAUUUCUCAUGUAUACAAUAGUAAAGCUCUAGGAUUCGCAUUUUUAAUCAACUAUUAAUCCAAUAAAGGUGAAAGGCAAAACAACAUCUGAAACUUACAAUCCUCGUGAAGAUAUGCCAAUCCUUUGGCAGAGCCAACAGCAACUCUCAUUCUGGCCUCCCAAGGUAGGGUCGACUGUCCACCUCCUGCAACGAUCACUUUCCAUCAGAAUCCUUUCCAUUAAACGCAAAAGGCUCCAAGUUCUCUGAUUAGUGUUCCCUUUCUUUUUUUCACAUAACCCCAAAUGCUAAAUCGGACGCGGAAAUUAGACUGAUAAAGAAAGAGGAGGCGACAUAAAAGCUCGCAGCAUUAAUUGGUACUGAAAAUCCAAACUAACCACGUAAGUGUGACUGCAAGGACCCGUUAGGCACAAACUCAUACACAAGGAUGCGCUCGGACCCCUCUCUGCAGUAUCCAACCAAAGACACGACAUGCUUGUGAUGCACUUGGUUUAUUUUUUUAACCUCGUUCAGAAACUCACUCUCUCCCUGUCCGCUUCCCACGUCCAGUCGCUUCACUGCUACCUCUUCCCCGUUGGGAAGGACUCCACGGUACACGCACCCAUAACCACCUCGUCCGAGUAGACUUGCCCCUGAGAAGUGGCUGGUGAACGCCUGCACUUGUUCAAGAGUAAAAUGACACAUGGCGGAACCGAGAGGAAUGUUAGGGGAUGCAGAGCGAAGCUGCAUUCUCCGGUUCUUCCUAUUUAGACAGUAUUUCAGCACCACAACCAGCAUCAGCGCCAGCGCCAAAACUGCGACCGCCACUGCUGCCAUGUGCUUCGUCAAUAUGGUGAACCAAGACGAAGGAGAAUUGGCCGAAGGGGACCCAAAAGAAGCUGACGGCAUAGGAGAUGCCAGGGUGGUGGUGGCAAGCAGCAGCGUUGUCGUAUUGGUGGCUGCCGUCGGCCAUGGCCAGGAGCCUGGAAGUGGAAUUAACAUUAAUGCAGAAACUCAGACUGAGAGUGAGCGCCAGAGAGGAAAGAGUGUAGGAUUCAAGCAGGGCUCAUAGGAAUUGUUAAAUAGAGGAGGGAGGGAGGGAGGGAGGGAGGAGGGAUGGAAAGGUUGGAAUGAUUGGCGUUUGGGUCACGUGGUGACUUGGUGAAAUUUAAUUUGCUUGAAUGCAGAAUUCUCCCCAUAAUUCGGGUUCUGACGCAACAAAUCUUCUUUUCUAAUUAUUUUUUUUCCUUCCAAUCUUCAUUCAAUCUUGACAUAAGGAUGUCACUCCCAAAUAAAAGACAAAACAGCAGGCAACAAGCAAGCAAGCAACAGUUCGAUCAGAAAAAAUAGGGGCAGCGACAAUAUCAUCAACGAAGAUGCGGACACCACCCCUAAGAUAUCGCAUCUUCCGACUUGCUUCCUACUUUAUAGAAGCCAAAUAAGGGUUGAUGCCAUAGUCAUUCAUACACACGUUGUGUUCUUUUUAUAAAAAAGGGUUGACCGUGAUAUACAGCACCGAAUUCGUUGGGACAAAUAAUCUUACUUUAAUUCUUUUGCAUGAACAUGAGUCUUAAUUGACAAUUCUGGGACAAUUAAAUAUUAGUUUGACAAAGAUGCGAGCUUCAAAGAUAAGCUAGGGCAUUUGGUUACCUUUUUGUUUUUGUUCCAAAUAAUGGAAAACAUCUGAAAGUGAGCCUACUUUGCAAGUCAAUAGCAUGCCUCAAGUCAACCCUCAUGUCUAGCGCCUAAUCCUAUACAUUCUUCUGCUACAAUUAGACACCAAUGGAAGAGUUAACCCUAAUUUUAGUUCCAUCAGGUAUGUUACAUACCCAAAAGGUGUCUAUAUUGCCAUGAAAUAGUCUUUUAUAGCUAUGCUUCGAAAAUAUUAUAGAUUAUUAUAUGAUCACACGUCAUAUCUCAAUUACAAGAUUUUGGAAACCUAUGCUAUAAAUCUUGUAGUCGGACAAAGCUACCGCUAAGAUGAAUUUUUCCCUUUCUAUAAAGAAGCCGAACCUCAUGCUUUAGGCCAAGUUCGACUGCUCUUUUUUUGUUCCUUCUUUACUUACAGCUAAUUACCCAUUUUCAUGUCAAUUAGCAUCCUUGUGAGUUUAUGUCAUCGUGACAUGUUGCAACCUCUCAUUAACUAAUGUCCUCUAGGCACAUCGACCAAACACGGAUUCCCACAUAGCAAGACCAUGCUCUGAGCUUUGCAUAUUGCUUUCAGACAUCUCUCAUCCGCCAACAUUUCAAACAACACAACACCGCUAGCCAGCAGCUGCUCAUCCUGUCAUAGCCUUCCUACCUUAUUCCGCUUAUCGGGUAGAAGUACACCUCAAGUGUCAAAACUUUGCACGGAAGGACAUUUAAGUGCCAAAAGUUUGGAAAUUAACACUUAAAUGCCAAAAUUGAAGCAAAAUGGAUCAUUUAAGUGUCACUCUAGCCAAAAUCUGACCAAAUUGUUGACGUGGCAAUUUUCCGACAAGGUGAGUGCAAAAUGGUGUCAUUUUGCACACUGACAUGAGUAAAAAAUACAAAAACGAUGUCGUUUUGUCUUUACGUGGUAAAUAAUUAAUAUAAAAAUUAAUUAAAUUAAAUUUAUUUAAAAUAUUAAAAAAAAAAAAAGGGGUGGGGAGCCGAAAGGAGGCCGCUAAGGGCUACGCCCUCGCCUCCGCCGGGAAAGGUUGGCGAUGGAGGGGGGAGGGUCGCUGACCCUCGCCCAAUUCACCACCCCCAAACUACGGCAAGGGCCUGCGAGCCCUCAUCAGAUCUGGGACGAGGGCCGCCGACCCUCACCGGAUCUGGGCAAGGGCCACAACCCUCACCAUCGGUUGGCCAAUGGCCGGCGAGCCCCACCAACUCUCCCCCCUCCGUCGCCGGCUCUUCCUGGCGACAGUGACAAAAGCUCAACCCUUAGCCGCCUCCUCCCUUCCCUUCGGCCCCCCUUUUUUUUAAAUUUAAGUUUUUUAUUUUUUAAAAUAUUUUAAAUGAACUUAGUUAUAAAUUUAAUUUAAUUAAUUUUUAUAUUAAUUAUUUACCACAUCAGAAACAAAACAUUAUUUUUGUAUUUUCUAACCACGUUAACGUGCAAAACAACGUUUUCCACUCACCUCGCCGGAAAAUUGCCAAGUCAGCAAUUUGGCCAGAAUGACACUUAACUGAUUCAUUUGCUCCAAUUUUGACAUUUAAGUAUCCAUUUUCCAAACUUUUGGUACUUAAAUGUUUCUCCGUGCCAAAUUUUGGCACCCCAGAUGUCCAUACAUCCCACUUAUCGUGCUGCCAAGCCUGCCAUUGCCCGUGGGCAACGCUAUUGCCCUAGUUUCAUACACCAUUUGACGUGUGCACCCCACUAGAUAGAGGGUGAUGUCCCACAACUCAUCACCCCUUUCGUAAUUUUUGCCUCCUGGGACCCUCGUCAUCAUGACUUUUUCAUUUUAUCAGAUCCCAUCUUGACUUGGAUAGUGAAAUUUGACUCAACUAAAUUCAAGAUUCUUAACCCCCCAAAAAAUAAAAAUAAAAAUUAUGUAAAGAUCACCCUUACGAAAUUUUAGUUAAGUCGUGAUUAGGCCCUCUACGCCUUGCAAGGACUGCUCGUUUACUCUCUCACUUUCUUUCCGACAUGGUCCAAUUGACGUUAAUUACUAUAUGCAACACUUUCGAAUUCCACCAAAUGUCUCAGUUUUUUAAAUUUUUUUUCUUCUUUUCCCGUAAUUUGUACUGGGGAGAAGGCGGCAAAAGCCCUUGACAUCUAAUGACACAGCUUGAAUUUGAUUUAUACCUAAAUUUUUUCUUUCCGAGAUUAAACCUUAAUCCCCCAUAUCUUCUCACAUUUACAAAAACAAAUCUUUCUCCAUGGCUACUCUUUCAUUAAACAAAUCAUGAAACCCUAGCAAGCUUCCUUCUUUACUUCACGCCAAAUAGCUAAAGCAAAUUGUGAACAAGCCAAGAUUCCUCCCUCAAGAAAUCAGAACACGCUACUUCUACGAAGCAUCUAGAUGGGCCUCUUGCAUGGUUCUGAAAAGGCCCCACUGCAUGCAGGGGGGAAACAUGCCCAUUGCACUUUUCCAUUGCCCAAAGUUACAAUAAUUUUUUGAAAUCAGCAUAUUCCGAGAAAAGAGAAUAAAACGAACCCAUAAUAUCUUGUACGCUUCCAAUUAACAUAAAGGAGUGUAAAUUCCAACUAUUGCUUUUCAAGCAAAAGCCAAGAUUUCUGUCUUAUUUUGGGCUACACAAGACGUUUCCCUUUUGGUCUUCGCUUAGCCUUUCUAUACUGACAACAAGAAGCCACAGAUGUGUCAUCUUAAAGAGGUUCGUCCUAGUCACACUUUAAUCAUUCACCGCAUGUAUAUCUUUCUUUGUUCGGUUCAUGGCUAUACUGUGUAUGAUCUCAUUUAUCUCAUAAUACCUCAGAUGAUAAUGAAACUAUUUUAGGGAAUCACUUGUAUUUCAUUUCAUGUCUUUUUGUUCCCUACUCUUUUCAUUUUGUUCCCUACUCUUUUCAUCUCAGUUUUCGUCUACAUAACUUUUUGUCGCAUCGUCCCGGUAAAAAUGCUUAAGACCCAAGCAAAGCAAAUGAAUGGAGAUAAUUUAAUCACCGAAUUGUCGCGCACCUCGUCUUGGCGCUUGAACACCACAUGCAAGAUAGAUAUCACGUCCGUCUUGGUGAGAAGUGGGUCGGUCCAAAGAUGCAAUUCAACUGUUGCAGGCAUAUCAUAAUCGCAGUUCCACUCAUGAUACCGAAGAUUGUUGAGUUCAACAAGAAGUCCGCAACAAUAACCAGUCUGCUCAUAAAUUCGAUGAAGAAAAGAGGUGAUUAGUUUCUUUGGCGAUUAACGAAUUAAAGGAGAAAAUACGUUCGAUCGCUCCUAUAUAUAACUUACGAACCCUAAGACUGACUGGCAGAUUACAGUGAAGAUCGAGUUGAGAUACAAGUGGGGGUCAGUGUCCGGCGACAUGUUCUCUUGAAUGGUCGUGUAGCUGGAAACAGUGAAGCUGCAGCCACGGUCCCAAUCGCUAUGUGCUUUGAGCUCCCGAAGAUGGCGUAUACAAUUGGCUACAAAGCUCAGAAUCUGCAAUAAGUCAAUAUCUUGAGUUAUUCGACCAAAUAUAUAUAUAUACUUAAGUCAGAAACAUGAAGAUUUAUUAAAACAAUGGUAUAGUCAUUAUUAUCAUCAUUUUGGUUAAGCCCAAAUGUCGCACCAGAAUUCACCCAAUGAACAAUUCAACCCAAUCUCCUAUUAGUAAAGGAAUCAAACCACUCGAUAACCUAUCUAAAAUAAAUUAAGGUGUCAUUCGCAUCACAUAAGCGAAUGACCCAAUUUGCUAAACAAGCAACACGAGUUCGCUUCUCAAAUUAUGCAGUAUCUUGACCUGUUGAAAAUAUAUAAAAUGUUUUUUAUUAAUAUCCUGAAAAACCCCAAACUAGUACACAUGUAACAAAUUUACUCGAAAUUAAUUUUUUUUAUCAUGAAAAACCCAAUACCGAUACACAUAUAAUAAAUGUACCCUAAAUGAUCACAAAAAACUCCAAAUUGGCACACUUAUAAUAAUUUUAUCCAAAACCAAUUUGUUCAACCUCAAAAUGGUACAUUUGUAACAAAUAUACUCCUCAUUAAAUUAGAUUAAUACCACAAAAAAUCACAAAUUAUACAUUGUGACAUUUAAUCAAUUAUCACGUGUCAUCAAACUUAGCAAUUUGUUAAUAAAAUUUAAUGAAAAUUAACAGAGUAAAUUUGUCACAAGUAUACUAAUUUGAGGUAAAUUUGUUAAAAAUAUAUCGGGAUUUUUGGUAUUAAAAAAUUAAUUUGAAAUAAAUUUAUCAUAUAUAUAUAUAUACCAGUUCGGAUUUUUUCAGGUACAAACCCAAAAGUUUUUUGAAAAGUUUUUUGAGUCUGAGAAAUGAGCAUAUCAUUUCAAACUCCAUCAGAAAGAACUCUCCCUCUCCGUUCCUCACUUCAGUCGCUUCACUGCUUGCAUCUUCCCGCUGGGAGACUCGCAGUACACCCACCCAAAGCACUUUCUCGACUAGAUUGCUCUGAGAGGCACGUGAACUCUGUAUUUUUAAUUUUAAUUUUUUUGGGGGUNNNNNNNNNNNNNNNNNNNNNNNNNNNNNNNNNNNNNNNNNNNNNNNNNNNNNNNNNNNNNNNNNNNNNNNNNNNNNNNNNNNNNNNNNNNNNNNNNNNNAAGAGCGAGCUUCCCGAGGAAGAGGAAAAGGAAAAAGCAAAGGAACCUCUGAAAUGAUAGAGAGAGAGAGAGAGAGGAAAAGGUGAAGGCUCUGGACCCCACUGGACCAGUGGGGACGACUGUAACAUGCUUCCAUGGGAAAAGGAGAGGAUGACACCACCGUUAGGAGCAACGAUGUCGUUUUAUCACUGGAAUCCCGCUUGGUGGAACCUUUAAAUUAAAAAGGUAAAAACAAUAAAUCAAAUUAAAAAAAAAAAAAAAGGAAAGAGAAGAGAUACUUAAAACUUCAUCACUUUGAAACAUUUUCAUAUUCAUUGUAAAAUGAUGUUGCCAUGGAGAGCUCUGAGCUUGCACAUUGCCUUCAGACAUCUCACAUCCUCCAACUAUUUCAAACAACAUGACACCACUCACCUGCAAUUUGGCAUUGAGUACGCCAAAUUCCGCUGCUCAUCCUAUCAUAGCCUUUCUACUUCAUUGCGCUAAUUGUGCUGUGAUUGCUCGUGUACAACACUAUUGUCCCUCGUUUAGGACACGACUUCACGUGCGAACCCCCAUUAAGUCGUGGGUGAGGUCCCACGACUCCCCACACCUCUCCUAAUUAGCCUCCGUGACUGGCGCCUUAUAAUGACUUGCCCAAAUUGUGCUGUGAUUGCUCGUGUGCAACACUAUUUUCCCUCGUUUAGGACACAAAUUUCACGUGCGAACCCCAUCCCACGACCCACCACGCCUCUCCUAAUUUGCCUCCGUGACUGGCGCCUUAAAAUGACUCGCGCUAAUUGAGUCGUGAUUGCUCAUGUGCAACACUAUUUUCCCCCGUUUAGGACACGAUUUCAGGUGCGAACCCCAUUAAGUCGUGACUCACCACGACUCUCCUAAUUUGCUUCCGUGACUGGCGCCUUAUAAUGACUUGGAGACUUUGGGGACAUAGUUUCUACCCCCAUCAUAAAAUUAAGUGAAGACUAGCAGUACGAAAUUUUAAUUAAUUUGGUUUCUGAUGCAUUAGUCAUGAUUAGGUUCUCUGCGCCUAUCACAUGGCAAAUGGCACCGGAGCUUGCUAGGACUGCUCGCUCAUUCUCACUUCCUUUCCGACUCAGUCCAAUUGACGUUAGCUACCAUAUGCAACACUUUCAAAUUCUACCAAAACUUAGUGCAAAUCUUUCUAUACAUGAUAUCCAUUGAUUCAAUUUUUCGAAUUUUUAAUUGGCCAUCAUGUAUACUAUUGACCUUAAUUCCUUAUCUAUCUCAUCCUUUAACAGUCUCGGUUUUUUUCUUUUCUUUUCACGUAAUUUGUACUAGGGAGGAGGCAGCAAGAGUCCUUGACAUCAAAUAACAGAGCUUGAAUUUGAUUUAUACCUAAAUUUUUUCCUUCCAAGAUUGACCCUUCACCACCCCCCCCCAAAAAAAAAAAAGAAAUAAUUCCUCACAUUUACAAAAACAAUUCUCCAUGGCUACUCUCAUUAAACAAAUCAUGAGACCCUAGCAAAUUCCUUCUUUACUUCACACAAUAUGAGGGAUCUCGAAUAGCUAAAGCAAGUGUGAACAAGCCAAGAUGCCUCCCUCAAUAAUUCAUAACAUAAUAUUUCUACGGAGCAUCUAGAUGGCCUCUUCUAUGGUUCUGAAAAGACCCCAUUGCAUGUAGGCGUCAACACGGGGACCCAUGCCCAUCGCACUUUUCCAUUGCACAAGAGUACAAUAAUGUUUUCAAAUCAGCAUAUUUCGAGAAAAGAGAAGAUAAAACGAACCCAUAGUAUCUUUUACGCUUCCAAUUAACAUAAAGGAAAAUGUAAAUUCCAACUUUCGCUUUUAAAGCACAAGCCUAAAUUUCUGUAUUAUGUUGGGCUCAACAAGACGUUUUCCUUACGGUCUUCCCUUAGCCUUAAGCAUAUUGGGCCGUGAAGAAGCCCCGUGGGCUAUGAGGAACAUAAUCAGCCACGGAAAAUGUAUUUUAGACAAAGUUGGCCAAGCCAAGCCCGGCCCAUUAUUUAAAGGGAAGAAAACAGAGUCGCCGACUGGACAGCAAAAGCCCACUGAAGCAAAAAAAGUUCCUUCCAAUUGGGUGUCUAUCCAUCACCAGCCUCUUCUAGAUAUUUUAUGUCGAAAGUACGUCUAUCUUUAUCAUGUACAAUGAAUGAAAAUAAUCACCCGUUUUUAUGACCCCCAAAAAAAAGUGAAUCUCAUACAUUUCAAUUUCAUGUCUCUUUUGUUCCUGUUCUUUUCAUCUAAGGUCUCGUCCACAGAACUUUUUGUCAUACCGUCCCUAGUAAAAUUGCUUAAAACCCAAGACAAGCAAAUGAAUGGAGAUAUAAGUAAAUUUAAUCACUGACUUGUUGCGCACCUCGUCUGGGUUCUUCAACACGGCAUGCAAGACAGAUAUCACGUCCGUUACGGUGGUGAAGUAAGCCAGUCCAAAGAGGCCCUUCAACUGCUGCGGGCAUAUUGUAAUCGCAGCCCCACUCAUGAUACCGACGAUUGUCGAGCGCGUCAAGAAGUCCACAACAAACCCCAGUCUGCUCAUAGAUUUAAGAAAGAAAAGAUAAGAUUAGUUUCUUUAUUAAUUGAUGAAUUAAAGGAGAAAAUUUGUGCGAUCACUCGCACAACCUUAGCGCCAUAGCUGGAUCUGGCAUAGCAGCGAGAGCAUUUCCAGAACUUAGAAUAUGCUAAUCUAACUUAGAAAAUGCUAACCUGUGUUGGGCUAAGUGCCUUAUAGUAUUUGCCUCAAGCUCUCUUUAAAGAUAUAAAAAUAAAAAUCCCGGGUAACGAAAAAUGGGUGAUUUGAAAAAUUCUUCCAAAAUGUUUUCGUCGCCUGAAGAAAUAUAUGCCUAACUAUUUCCAUAAGAAACUGAAUGAAAAAAGUUCCAUUUAUUAAAACUUUUAAAGCUAUUAUUUUUUCCGGAAAAUCUCUUCCAAAUCGCUGGUUUCCAACUAAACACUAAGCAUUAGAACCCCAAAAAGUGGCUUCCGGCAAAGUGGUUGCCGAACGGAGGCAGAGACAGAGUAUGGCAAAGGGGUUGCCAAAGGCAGAGGGGGGCCAACAUGCUCACCUCCAAGGUGUUGUUAGGCACCAACUCGUGCGUGAAGUAUCCAAACCAAAGACACGGCAUACUGGUGAUGAACUCGGCUUCGUUAUUCAAACCCAGUCAGGAACUCACGCUCUCCCUGUCCGCUUCCCCACCUUCAGUCGCUUCCCUGCUACUACCUCUUCUUCCCGGCUGGUAAGGACUCCGCGGUUUAUACGCCCAUAACCCCCUUCUUCUCCGAGCAGAUUUGCCUCUGAGAAGCCGCCGCUGGGAACCUCUAAAAAGAGCCUCGCCGGUGCCGAAAGAGUGGCUUAGGAUGAAGUGCCCAUUGACUAAGGUAUUGAUGCCGGGCAGUGCGCGGCGCUUGGAAAGAGACGGUGCGAGGCACGCAUAACCCGAGGUUCUCCCUUUGCCGAUCACAUACAGGAACCUUGAGAGGAGAGAACCCUUCUUUCUUAUUCUUUUAUACUGGAAAUGGAAAAUGAGAGGGUGACCAGCCACCGCAAGUUUUCUCACGGAAUCCGAAUUCCUUUCUUGAGAAGAAGAGAUCUCUUCUUUCCUUUACAUUGAAUAUCAACAGAUCACCUCCUCUUCGAAGAAGAGGUAGAAGAAGAGGUGGAAGAGGCCGGGAUCCUGACCGUCGGGUGAAACGGACUCAAUUUCAUCCGUUCAUCCCGACGGAUGAAAGGUACUGUUAAUUGGAAAGAAGGAGGAUGAAAGCUGUUCGUCCUCAUCCUAGAAAACGACUGAAAUUCUAGGAUGAGGACGACCCGGUCGCUUCAGUCAUUUUCUAGGAUGAGGACGAACAGCAGUAGGGGGCCCUAGAAAGCGACUGGGGCAUCCCUCCCAGUCCCCUAGAAAGCGACUGAAGCGACUGGGUUAAUCUCUCAUCGUCAAAGUAGGAGGAUGAAAGCGAUUAAUUAAAUAAAAUCUCUCAUCGUCAAACGAUCAAUUUCAUCCGACGGAUGAGAACGUACAACAGUAGGGGGGAAGAAAGCGAGUGGGUUAUUAAGUCUCCGUUCGUUUCGCGAAAAAUAUUAUAUUUUUAAAAAAUAUUUAUUAAAAUUUAUUUUUCAAAAAAAAUGACUAUUUUUUUAAAUUCAAUCGAAACUUAAAUUUUAAAUGAAAAAUAUUUUUCAGUUCGUUAGCUAAUUUAAUUAUUUAAAAAAUUUUAUUAAAAAUUGAAUUUUAUUAUUUUUAAUUAACAAAAAAAUAGUUUUAUUUUUUAUAUUUUUUUAAAAAGAAAUUUUAGUUAUUUGUAUUUUAAAAAAAUAUAAAUUUUUAUUCUUUAUUCUUUCUUUUUCUUUCUCUUUUUCCCUUUUUUCUUUUCCUUCCUCCUCCUUCUACCUCCUCCUUCCUCCGCCGGCGAUUCUCAAUCCACGACGAUCGGCCGGCUCGCGGCGGCGGCGGCGAAGACUUCCUCGCACUGAUCGGCGGCGGUCGUCGUGUAGGGCGUUUUUCGUUUUCCCCCCAAUCGCAUUCUCCCUGCCUCCCUUUCUUCCUCUGUCCGGCCUCAGGGGUUAACUCGGGGGAUCGGCAAUCGGGUACGUCGGCGAGACGGCCGCUCGCCGGCAAGGAGUCGGUCGGUUUCCACGUCGCGGUGGUUGAUCCUCCGUCUUCUACGGCUGCACCUACCCCUCUCUCCCCCUCCCUCCUCUCCGCGUCGGAGCUCACGGUCGGCAGACUCGCCUAGAUCGGGAGCCCGAGCUCCGCCGCCAGAUCCGACGAGCUCGCGGCUCGCCAGAGCCCAGCGAACCUCUGGCAAGCUCGGGCAAGGCCCAAGCCCCGCCCAGCUCGCCGGAUCUGGCGAGGCCCGAGCUCCGCCCCAGGCCGGCGAGAGCUCCGCCUCGCCCGAUCUGGUGAGGCCCGAUCUCGACUUCGUCAGAUCAGGCUAGGCGAAGCCUCGCCGGCCUGGGGCGAGGUUCGAGCUGACUCGUGGCCGCGGUCGGUCGCCGGCUCGCGGCCGUAGCCGGUCGCCGGCCACCGUCCUGGCCGGCGACCGGCCAAGGCUAAGGAAGAAAGUUGAAAAGGAAAGAAAGAAAAGAAAAGGAAAAAAAAUAAAGUAUAAAAAUAAAACAAAAAUGUGUUAAUGAAAAAAAGAAGUUAUGAAAAAUAUUUUUUAUUUUUGAAAAGUGAAAAAUAUUUUACUAUCCUUAAAGGUUUUUUUUUUUUUGGGUAAAGUUUCCUAUUCAGGUUGUUUUUCUCAAUCAUGGAAAAUGUUUUCCUUGAGAGUUUAUUUUUCGUGAAACGAAUACCGAAAAAUUUAAAAAAUAUUUUCUUGAAAGUUGUUUUCUGUGAAACGAACGGACCGAAGUCCAUUUCACCCUAUGGUCAGGAUGAAGGAUGAAAUUGAGUCUCCCUUUUCGCUUGAUGAAAGGCACUCUUAAUAAAAUAAACUCUUACCAGGCUUCCCAUCGGUCUUCUCUUCUUCUUUGCCCUCGACAUUCUACAUUAAGAUAUCACCUCUUGGGAUUCCUCGUCUUCUUCCCUUCGCAUUACCCCGAAUAUUAAAGCUUGGUGGGACCCACAAUCUACGGUUGUCUCACGGAAUCCGCUUUCCGCGAGAAACUUAGGCCCUAUUUGAUUUAGCUUUUCAAAUGGACUUUGAAACUCUAAAAUCCCUUAACUAAAUACAAAUGCAUUUGGUUCGAUUUUUUGAGCAACUUUAGUAAAAUGCAAUUGCAUUUCCAAAUGACUCUAAGGGUCCUUAACCCGAAACAAGUCUGAAGGUACUUUGAAAAGUUGCAUAUUUGAAAUGCAAGUCCUGAUAUUAUUCAUCUUCUCCAAAACUAUUGCACGGAAGCCAAUUGGAGGCUGACGGUCGCGCGCGCCGGCGACCACCACCUGAGGGUCACUUGACCCCGACGACCGUCGCCGAACCUUAGGUGACACCUAGGUCACGCAACCCACACGGCCGCUUAAGGUUGCGUGACCUCAGGUAAUGGUCGCCUGGGUUGGGCAACCUCAGGUGACAAUCGCUUGAGGUUGCGCGUUGCCUGGGUCACGCGACCCCAGGCAACUGUCUAUGGGCCAGAUCUGGCGCUUCGGUGGCUAAACUUAAAAAAAAAAUACAAAUAUUUUUUUUAAUUUAAUAAAAUUCAUUUACAAAUGCAAAUUUUACUAAAUUAUAUUUUGGCCAAAGUUGUAUCUCAAUGUAAUUUUACCAAACGAUAUUUGCAUUUCGGAAAACUCAUUUCACCUAAAGGCAUUUGCAUUUUGGCAAAUGCAUUCUUCAAAAGCCGAACCAAAAGGGCCCUUAGUGCCGAUCAUAUUGAGCAGCAAGCUUGGUGGGACCCAUAGUUUUCUCAGAGAAAUGAGCCGAAUUCCUCUCGAGGAAUUUAGCUCCCGUGAGAAAACUCGUGCUAAUUACAUUGAAUAUUAAACGUACUGUUGAAACAUCUUAGAUUUCUAUCAACAAUACUUUUACGAUUUAACUAUUUUUCACAUCAAAUAAAAUGAAUGUAAUUAAUAAAAUAAAAAGUUGAAUCUCUAAUUCACACAAUUUAAAAAUUUAAUAAAUUCUACUUAAGUCAUGAUGAUCUCAAUUAAUCACAAAUGAAAGUAUGAUAUUCUUGUGAAUAAUUCAAAAUAAAAAAUAUUUUAAAAAUUUUAUCUGUACGUUGUUUGUUUGAUUAAAUUUUUUUACCUCGAUGCUUUUUUCUGUACAACCCCUUUUUUUUGCCAUGCCAACUUCUAGAAUUUUCAACUAUUCGACAAUUCUUCGAAAUCUCAUUGAGCUAGGUUAAAAUACAUGUGUGUUACUAAUUUGACUUUUUAAUGUAUCUAGAAUUGUUGAAAUUGUUUUUUGCAAGUACUUUGCAACAAGAUUGAGUUUUACAUUUAAGUAGUUAUUCGGAGCAUUAUAAGGGUUAAGAAGGACAUUUCAUUUUCUUUAUGAAAAAAUAGUCAUUGAUAACUGAAAAUUUUCUAUUAAGAUUCGUUUCCAGUAUUGACUCAACCGAUUGCCCAUUCCCAUCGAAAGGAAUUUAUGGUCGAUAAGGCAUCGUUAAUAACAGUGCCAUUCUCUUUACAAUGUCUAUCGGAUAGACUUUGCUCAAACUGCUUGAGUAGGGGUGUGCAAAAAAAAUCAGUAAUUGGGAUCAUCCGAAACUAAUGGUUUCCAAGGGAACCGAAUGAAACUGAUGGUUUCAAAGGGAACUAAGUCAGUUAUCGUUUCCAAUUUAUUGGAAUCGGUGGGUACUGAUUUGGUUUUCAAUUCUUGAUAUGAAACUAUCCACUCGAAUCAGAACAAUAAUAUAUAAAUACAUAUUUAACUUUUAAGAAAAAAUUUCGAGCAAAAAAACUUAAUAAAAAUGAAAAGUACUAAAAUCCUUGAUUUGAAACUCAACACUCAUUAAUCACGAGUGACCAUCUUGUCUCACUCUCACAUCAUAUAAGUCGUUUCUAUUGCUCCCUCAUGGCCUCAACUUUCAAGCUCAUUGCCCAUCAAUUCUCGACUUUUUUAUUGAUAUUGUAAUUAAGAUAGGGGAAUUCUUUGUUUUUUGCUUUACUUUGUCUUAUGUGAAAACAUUGCACUGAAUACGUCAAGCAUGAUGGAAUCGGCCGAAACCAAAUCUUAAUAGGUGGUUCUCGAUUCAGGGCGGCGGUUCUCAACCGGACAAUGCCGACCCCGACAAGGAGAGAGGGAGGAAAAGGUCAAGGCUCCGACCAAUGGUAACGUGGGAACACAGAAAUCUGAGCAGUGGGCCCACUUCAUUUUCUUGACUUCAAGCCCGGACGGUAGAUAUGCAUUUUUUCACUCAUACCCGCUCAUAAACGAACGCGUCUCCACCUCGAACCAUAUAAGAGAUCUGGAAUUUUUAUUUUUUUCUCUCUCCUUAGCUCUCGUCCUCGUCCUCGUCCUCCUCCCUCCAGUCACCGACGCUGCGUCCAGGCUAUGGACCAGCAGCGUCACCGGCCAAGGACCAGCAGCACCUUUUUUCCUUUCAUUUUUUAAGCCAAACAAGAUGCGUAGUGGAUCUGAGGACGAAAGCCAUCUUCUUUGCCAGGCCACAUAAUCUUGAAAAAAGAGCCAUAUUCUUUGCCUUUGGUUGGCCAUGCGGUGUCAUGAGCCAGCCGCCUCAGGCCCGCGUCACUCCUUCAUGGCCGUCAUCACCUUCGCCGGCGUUGCGCCCCUUGUCCACUACCGUCGUUAACGCGAGUAGGGGCGGCUUGGCUUAGGCGUGCAGGACGCACCGCCGACGACUCCACUGGUGGCCGCGGCGAGGGGAGGUGCCUGCAACUCCAGCUAACACACUUCCAUGGCCGAACACGUUUUCACUUUAUUCCGGGCCAUUGGACACUUGUCAAAUUAUAACUGGAUGUAAGUUAAAAAUAUACGCCACGUCAGCAGCUGUUGCAUUGGUUUAAUUCCACUAACUAUUUUCUCCGAUUUAUUAUUUUUCUUAUUUUGCAUUUUCUAGAUGCCUCCUCUGUUUUCCUCGAUUGGUGAAUGGGCCCCGCUUGUUCUUCUUGUUUAUUUCUUUAAUUUUCGUUAUUUUUCGUUUCGGGGCCAGUGCGCGAAUGGGGCGUGUUGAUUAUUAGGGUUCAUUGGUGGCGGUCAUUUUUUUGGGUGUAAAUGAAAGUCACAUGCCUUCUAGAUCGUCCGGUCCAUGGUAUGCCGCGUGUAUUGAUAUGCAGAUGAGAUAUUAAACGAAAGGGAUAAUACCCUAAAAAACCCCAAACUGGUACAUUUGUGACAAAUUUACCCCAAAUUAUUUUUUUGACCAUAAAAAAUCCAAAACGGGUAUAUUUUUGACAAAUUUAUCCUAAACUGGUACACUUGUGACAAAUUUACCCUAUGUUAGUUUUCGUUAAAUUUUAUUCUCAAAUUAUUAAGUUAAAUGACACGUGACAGUUAACCAGUAUACCAAUUUAGGAUUUUACGUUCCAUUUGUCACAGUUUGCAAUUUUUAUGAUUUUUUUAUGGUAUUAAUUCAAUUUAGCAUAGGGCAUAUUUGUCACAAAUUUACUAGUUUAGGGUUUUUUGCAGUCGAAUAAAUUAGUUUGGGGUAAAUUUGUCAAAAAUGUACCAGUUUAGGGUUUUUUAUAAUCAGUCGGGGUAAAUUUGUCACAAAUUUACCAGUUUGGGGUUUUUUAUGGUAAAAAAAAUAGUUUUGGGUAAAUUUGUCACAAGUGUACCAGUUUGGGGUUUUUCAAUGUAUUAGCCCUAAACGAAAUGCUGAUGUAAGGUAGCUUGGCAUGGAAGGUGUUUUUGGGGGGUGUGAAAGAAAAAUGUGACUUUUUUAAAAAUGUUUUAUGAAAAGUCAUUUUUUAGUAAAAUGAUAAUACUUUUUUCAUUGUUUGACUGAGAUCCAAAAAUAAACUGUAAAAUAUUUUUCUUCCUUCAUUUAGAUAAAAAUUCGAGUUUUUUUAAUAUUUUUUCUUCUUUUAUUCUUUUUAAUUUAUUCUUUUUUUUCUUCUUUCUUUCUCCGUGGACCCUAGCCUCAAAGGUCAAACCUCGCACAAUCCUGACCAACUCGAGUGUCGCUGGCCUCCCAGCAAGCUCGAGCCUCGCUGGCAACGUUGGCUCGCAAUGUUAAGGCCUAGCAUUAGGCGGAGGAAGAAAGAUGAAGAAAAGGAAGAACUUUAAAAAAUAAAAAAGUAUCAAGAUAUUUUAAUGGUAAAAAUUGUCCGAGUGUGCCUUAGAUGGCCCUAGACCAGCCUCGAUGAACUCAGGCUCGAAUGUAAGGGACUCGACCUUAUUGCCAACAACUCGAGAAAUGAUUGUAGAGUUUUUCGUAAAAAAAAAAAUCUGUUAAUUAAUUUUUCUAAGCGAAUUAAAUACAGGAAUAUGAGGAAAAUACUUUAAAAUAUUUUUCUGUAAACAAAUGGAGCCUUGACUUGUCAUUACUAAAAUUUCUCAUUUCUUCAAUUUUAUUUUAAAUACACGAUAUGAGUGGUUAGAUUGCAAGUGAAUGUCAGCCGAUACCUACGAAGUUGAUUAAUUGGGUUCGGUUGCCACAAGUCAAGGUUAGGUGGUUCUCUAAUUUUUCAAAUGUUUUUAAACCAAUCUUAUUCUAUCUUGACUUUAGCGGUUACUUCAAGUAGAAGGCGAAAACACCUGGAAACAAACGAGAAACAACAUGUCCAGAAAGAUGUGGACAUUUUCCUUUUAUAACAUGGCAAGUCCUCCAACUGUCACAUUUCAUUAAGCUAAAUGACAUGCAAAGUAUACUAUAAUCACUUGAAUUAGAUCUGUUAUUUCUUUUGACAAAAAAGGUUAACGACAGCACCAAAUUCAUUAGGAGAAAUAAUCUCUUGCACAUAAACAAUUGAAAAUAUUUUGAUAUUUAAAUAUUAAUCUGAGAAAGAUUCGAUCUUUAUAUAUAUGUUUGGGUAUUUGUUUAACUAAAAAAAUUGAGGAUAUUUCUUUGAUAUAUAUAAGUGUUAAUAAUAACCAAGCCAAAUUUCAUGCAAAGUACUUUGCAUGAAAUUGGUAGUUUGGGAUAUUGUUUUAUUUUGUGCUACAUUAACCAAUUAAAAACACUUAGAAAAAAGUAUUUGAAAUUCUUCAAUUAUCCAUUUUCCCGACAAUUCUAGUAUAAUAAGCAAUUAAAAGACAAGAAUGGCCUCGGGUCUAUUUCCUUCAACUACGCCUAGUGAAGGGACAUUCAACGAUCAAUGAAGGCAGGCAACUUCCUCGGAAGUCAAACUUUUCGGCCUUGGAGUAGCUCAUCGGUUAAUUGACCGGCCGAUAUUAGUUAAUUUUAGUUCAGGGGAAAAUAAUUUUUUUCUUCACCAAUUAAGAGAAGGGCUGCUUUAUAUUGUAACCACAAAAUAUCUGCAUCAUUUUCACAGGUCGCCGUAUUGAACUAAUAAUAAUAAUAAUAAUAAGUGAGUAUUACCUGGGAGGAUAUAAAUAUAUUUAAAAAUAUAUUUAAAGUUUAAAAAGGAAAGAAUAAAUAGAAUAAGAAACGAGAAAGAAAAAGAGAGAAAAUAUUCAAACGCGCAAUAGCUGCAGGCUGUCUUAGUUUGGCGUAGGUGAGAAUUUCGAGAAGUGCACGUAGUCGUGCUAUCAUUAUACGCUCUCUCCUCCACACCCCCCCCUAAAAAUAAUAAUAAUAAUUAGAGGCGCGAUAUUCACUACUUUGAUUAGGAGUGAGUAUGAUCUGGAUUGGGCCAAUCCGCCCCAUAACCGUAGGAUCAACCUGCACAGUGCUGGUUAUUUAUUUUUGGGAUUAAGGACUGACCCUAUUAAGCUUGGGAUCGAGGAUCGGACUGACUUAAUGGAUUCGGUCCGAUUCUAAGGUCAAUCUAGGACUAAUCGAUAAUUUUUUAUUUCAUUUUUUUUACUCCUUAAAAAAGCGAUUGAGGACCGAACUAACUCAAUAGAUUCGGUUCGAUUUUAGGAUUAACCCAAAACCAACCAAUAAUUUUUUAUUUACUCAUUAAAAAAUGAUUGAAGACCGAAUUGGCCCAAUGGGUUCAAUCCGGCUUCAAGGUCAACCAAGGAUCAACCAAUAAUUUUUUAUUUCAUUUUUUAUAUUCCUUGAAAAGGCAACUGAGAACCAUACUAACCAAAUGGAUUCGCUAGUGAGUGAAGUCAGACAAGCGACGAGGGUCAAGUGGGGUGAGCAUUGAACAUAAUGAGUAUCUGAGAAACAACAAGCCAAGCGAGCAUCGAGCGGCAACCAACACGAGUGAUCCAAAGUGAGCAAGGCGAGUGUUAAGUGGUGAGCAAAUAAGUUGUUUCUUUUUAUUUUGGCAAAUUAAAGACUAAGAGGACAAAUAAGACAUAAGAAAACGAAUACUAAAUGAUGAUGCUAUAAUGAGCUAUUUAUGCCUUUUUGGACGUCGUGAGGACUCCUUACGAACAUUUUCCUCAUUCGUAAAUUAUGACUAUUGAUGCCCUAUAAAAAAUUAAAAAUAUGUUAUUAAAAAAAUAUAAAAUUACUUAAACUCCUCACUAAAAAGUUGUUUAAUAUCGUUGACGUUGUUUAUUUUGAUGUUUUUUUAUAUAAAAAAAUUAUAAGUAAUAUAUAUAUAGUUAUGGUAGGUCCAGAUUAGACCGACCCUGAACUCUCAGAAUCGAUGAUCAACCCAUAUAGUGCUGGUCCAAGAAUUCUAGAACCAAAAACCGAUCCAAUCUUCCUAGGAACCGGGUCAGACCGACAGGGUUGUACCGGUCUAGGGUCGGUCCAGAGUUAACCCUGGACCGAUGCUCACCCUUAACUUUGACCGAAGAAAAAAAGCAAAAUUAAAAUGAUAACAAUAAAAAUGAAAAAGACACUCGUGCUUAUCUCCAUCCAGCUGUAUGCUUCAGCCUUUCAUGCCUCUCGAAGUUAGAGGCAUGAUAUUCGCUACUUUGAGUGAAGAAAAAAAGCAAAAUUAAAAUGAUAACAAUAAAAAAGGAAAAAGAAUUCGUGCUUAUCUCCAUCCAGCUAUAUGCUUCAGCCUUUCUGCAAGGAACGCCAGAAAAUGCCAAAAGCAAAAGGAAAAGCAAGCCAUUCUCCCUUCUCCAAUGUUAUCAAUGGCAAGCGCGAGCACGAUGGGCUUUGCCACUUUUUGCGCUCGGUGCUUCGUCUAUUGCAGUGAUUCAUGGAAAGAAAAAAUGGAGCUGAUCUGUCUGUCAUUUGCCACGUGCAUUAAUAUAUAUGCAUAAUAACGAGAUAUCGGACAAGAAUGCCGGCCGAGGAUGGAUUUGGAUAGAAGGUACUGAUUUGGGUUUUUUAGCGAGAUGAAGAUUAGUUUUUGAUAAAUAUAUUAUGAGUUAUCAAUUUAUAAAUCUUUACAAGAUAAAAAUUAUUUUAUAACAAAUGAUUCGAGAUGUACCAGUUUAAGAUUCGUUUCUUCCUGAAUUAAUCGGAAGGCAGACUGUAAACGUACCCAGAAGAAAAAUGCAGAUGUGCCGAGAUCUUGAGAGACUAGAUUUAAAUUUUCAUUCCCAAAUAAAGCUAGCAAUAAUUCCUAAAUAAGGUGGGCAAGGAAUUAACCAGAAUUGACCAGAGAUCCUGCAGCCCUACUAAUUCCGCAAAAGGAAGACCAAAAUUAAAAGAAAGUGAAAGUGAAAGAGGAGAUGACUUUCAAUUCAGGAGAAAAUAAUUUUUUUCAAUUAAAAAGAGGUCUCCUUAUGUUGUGACCGGGAAACAUGUAAAUUAUCUCCGCACGUCGCGGUAUCAAUUAAUAAUAUAAUAAUAAUAAUAAUAAUAUAUAAAGAGAGUAUUACGUAUGUUGGCCGAAUAUACAUAUUUAAAAGAGAAAGAAUAAAUUGAAUAAGAAAUGAGAAAGUAAAAAGAGAGAAAAUAUUCAAACGUGUAAAAAAGCUGCAGGCUCUCUGACUUUAGCGUAGGUGGGGACCCCGACAGUUGCACAUGACCAACCUAUUAUUAUAGCCAAGACCCCACUAUUAAUCGUAUUUGGUUUGGCGUUGUGGCCACGCAUGACUUUUGCUCAGAAAAUAUCGAAUAAGCCGGCCCAUUCAGGAAACGACACGCGGCGCUCCUAUCACUCCGUUCAAGCUUCUGCAUCCCUUUUCUCGAUCCCCUUAGCACCGAUCGUUUCACCCAGCAAAAAAAUUUAGGGUUUGGAGCUUUUUUCUUGCCCAUUUUAGUCUUUCUACCCGCACUCGGCAUCUACCAUCGUGGAAAUCGCUCCCGAAUCUAAGCAAUUUUCAAAAGUGAACACGCACGCACACACAAACGAGAAAAGCGCCGACGUAAAUAUAUAUAUAUAAUUUUUUUUUUCUCGAUGGGAUCGGUCUUCCGCCUGACCUUUCCGUUCGUUAACUUAAAAUAAAAAGCAGAUCGGCAAGGCCUUAAAAAGGGUAUUUGUGAUUUGAUUCGAUCUUGAUCGAUUGAUGAAUUAAUGAAGGGACGGACGGCCGGACGGACGGGAGUGAAGGAGAGAUUUUUACCGAUUGAUUGAGCCCUACUUGGUCUGGAAGAACAUGUACAAAUCAGUGGGAUGGAGGCGAAGAAGAGAGUUGUUGUCACAGUAGAGAAAGAAGAAGGCGACACCACAAUAAUUGAAGAGAGAGAGAGGAGGCAGAAGUUUGAAUGGAGAGAGAGGGGAAGUGGGACCCAUACGACGCGCUUCGUCCACUCACUGGGCCGGCCUACCCAUAAUUACAGGCAUGACAUUCGCUGUUUUGACUGAAUAAAAAAAAAGCAAAAGAUAAUAAUAAUAAUAAAAGAAAACUUUGAUUCUGAUUAGCUCAACCGAGGCUCCAGCCGUACGCGCUUUUCGCGGUUUCAGCGUGUCAGCGAAGCGCCCACGAAAAAGCCAAAAGCAAAAGGAAAAUUAUUUUUGAUAUUCGAACAAUUCAAUAUUUUUUUUUAUGACCUAAGAAACCUGUAAACCGACGAGCAAAUCUAAAGCUCACGGAGAAACUCACCACCCCUAUGAAGCGGAUAAGUCCAUCUGCGAUGUGCUGGAAAUUCGAACAAUUCAAUAUUUUAAAGAGCAAAAAUCACUGAAAACUCUAGUCAUAUCUACCUCAAAUUUUCUUUAAUUCACCCCCAACACAUUUACGCCCCAAAAAAUUCUAUGAAAUCAAAAUUUUUACGACAUAUUUAUCUCAAAAUUUAGUUUAAAUAUAUCAUGUAAGUACAAUAUUAGGAUUUUUGGCAUUAUAAAAAAUAAUCUGAGGUAAAUAUAUUACACAAGUAUAAAUUUUAGGAUUUUUUAUGUCAUAAUUAAAAUUUAAGGUAAAUGUGUUGUAAUGAGCAUAGUUUAUAGUUCUUUUUGACUUUUUUUUCCCAUUUUUGGAAGUUCGCUUUUGAUAGCUCUAUUAACAUGUUAUUAACUUAUACUAAGUUAGAGUUAUUUUACAUAUUUUAAACAACAAAUAAUGUAAUUUUUAUGAGAAAAUAUUUGGAUUUCUCUUUGUUAAUAUGGAGAAAUUAAGAAAAAAUUGCAAAAAGAAGGAAAUGAAUACACCUCUCACACAAGCUUUAGAAGGUGGAUGUCAAAUCAGGGAUCCUAUGAUUUAUUUCCUAAUUUUAGGUAAAAAAUAAGUAAUUACGGGAGUUUUAGAGAUCAUUCUAUAAAUAUGAAAAUAUUGACAACUUGGGGGUAUGGUUAAGUUUUUAUUUUUAGAUUAUUUUUAUUAUUAUUUUGAGAGUUUUUUUAAAUAUUUUGGAAGGAAGAUAAAAAGUGGUGACAAAUGCAAAAGUCAAUCAAAUGCUGCUUACCUCCUUCAGACCUAUCACGUGGCUUGUGGCGCCCGAGUUUGCAGGGAUUGCUCUCGGUCCAAUUGAGCUUAUUUACUGUAUGCAACAAUUCCGCAUUCGCUUUUAUUUGCAAAUCCAUUAAUCUCGUUCCUAUAAUUUGUACUGGAGAGGAGGCGGAAAGAGUAUUUGACGUUUAAUAACAGAGCUUAAAUCUUAUUUUUACCUAAACUUGUUCCUUCCAAGAUCUAUCACUUUUUUCUAUCCGAACAUAGGAACAAAUCUCUGUGAUGGCUACUCUCCCACUAAACAGAUCUCGAAACUUUGACAAACUUCCUUUUUUUCUCCACACAAGUGUGAACAAGCCAAGGUUCCUCCAUCAAUAAAUCUUAAGACAAUAGCUCUAUAAAGGAUCUAGAUGGCCUCUUGCAUAGCUGGAACUUACCUAAUUAAGAACCUGAAACCUACCUGUUAAACAGGUUUAUUAUUUUUUGAAACUUAGAAUCUACCAUGCAUAUCUUGGAACCUGAAACCUACAGGUUCCUAUCGGUCCGUUCUCAAGUUCCAUAUUCUACCUCGGAACCAUGCUCACCCCUAAAACUUACCCAGUUUUCUAUACCCUUUCUAGUGCCCCACAACCAAAUGAGGACUCAGUGGCUAUAUCUAGUUGUUGAUAGUCCGUAGCUUUUCUUUGGCUUCAACAGAUCAAUUUAGGUUUAAGUAGCAAAAAGGUACUUGUGAAUAGAAGGUGAGCAGUUUUAAGUUCUAUCCAGGUUCCACUUGAUAUCUAGAAUUUACCUAUUGGAAUAAGUUCUCCAGUUUCUCAUUUAUUGGAAUUUGGAACCUAUUUUGUAUAUCUUGGAGUCUAGAACAAACUUGCAACGGUCUGAUUCUCUAGUUCCAAGUUCUACAGUAAAACCAUGCUCAUCCCUACAAUCAUAGCCUCUCUACUUUGUUCGCUUAUUCUUGUUACUCAUGUAUAACACUAAUAACCUUCCCUUGACAUGAGAAUUACACACAAACUCCUUGACCUUUUGGCACUGAGUAGGCGUCAACCCCCAUGUAUGGUCUUACGACUUUGUGAAGACCUGUGUUUUCAAUAAACAGUCACCAUGGUUUGAUUACUGUGAACCCCUUUGUAUGCUCUUUCUUCUUGUAGCAAUCAAUCUCUUGUGGCAUUUCAAAAGAGACGAGUCUUGGAACGGAGGCCGCUACGAUCAUGCUAAUAGCCAAUGGAUUUUGAGCCCCCUAAAGUCACUUGAAAAAAAGCUAGGAUGUUUGAGUAAUAUUUUUUUGUACCACUUUGAAGAAAUGCCAACAUUGGUAAAGUUAAAAGCUCAAUAUAAGUCCUCACUUACUUUGAGCUUGCAACAUUUUCGGAAGGCAGCUUCCAAGGUUGAUUUGCUUUUUUUUUUAUCCAAAGUUGCCUCAACUAGUAUUUUCAUAUUCUUGACUUGCCCUUGCUCAUGAUUGUUCUUCUUCUCCAACCGUUGAAUUCCUGAGCUUGUUGUGCUUGGGUUCCCGCCAAAGAUCGCGACGCCUGGGCUUUUGCUCGGUUCAUCCUCUCCAAUGUCAGCCUCGCUCGCGACUGUUAGAUGAGAUCUGAAGGUAGAGAGUCGAUGAUGGUCGAGCGUUGUCGACGGUCAAGAGUCAACUGUCGAGCGUCAAGGCGGCUCCUGGGACCGCGCAAUGGCUGACUUUUGUCAAGCGUCAUCGCAUCAGGCAACCACUUGGAGUCGUGUGACCCUGGCGUUGCUGCGCCAACCUAGGCGCAGCAUGACCUUGGAACCCACGAGCCUUGCCUAACCCCUUAGAGACAAUGAUGAGUGGGGCGGUGCUAUUCAUCAGAGAGAGCCUCAUGAUCACACCAACCCAGGUUGAGAUCCUGGUGGGUUCGCUCAAUGUGGUCUCGCUGGUUGGAUCUCUCGCCAGUGGCCGGACCUCCGAUUGGAUUGGCCGGCGAUCCAUGAUAGUCCCUGCAGCCUCCACGUUCCUAAUCGGUGCACUUCUGAUGGGCCUUGCUCCAUCCUCCAUGUUCCUAAUGGCUGGGAGGGUAGUCGUGGGAAUCGGUGUUGGGUACGCCCUCAUGAUUGCCCCAGUCUACACCACCGAGAUCUCUCCAGCGAUGACCGGGAUUCCUGUCUUCGUUGCCUGAAGUCCUUUAUCAAUGUUGGGAUUUUACUUGGGUAUGUAUCCAACUAUGCCUUAUAGGCCUACCGGUUGAUAUAAGUUGGAGGCUCAUGCUUGGGUUAGCUGGAGUGCGGGCAAUUGCGAUCAGGGCAGGCGUGAUGACGGUACCAGAGUCAUCAAGGUGGCUGGUGAUGGAGGGCAGAUUCGAAGAAGCGAAGAGGGUGCUGACCAAGACAUCAAAAGAAUAAGAUGAGGUAGAAGCUGCAUCGAGGCUAAACCAGAUGAAGACCGACAUAGGGGUUGAUCGAUCCACGGGCCGGCUUUGGCCUGAUGGCUCGGGCAGGGCUUUGGAAGGAGGUCCUCCGGAGGCACAUCCGCCGGAUUCUCAUGGCAGCCAUUGGACUUAACUUCGUCAUGCAGGCGUUAAGGAAUGCCGCGUCGUGUACUUUAGCAAUAACCAACAGCCUUUAGGGGUGACUAUCAUAAUGGGACUUGCCAAGAUAUUCUUUGCCUUUGCUUCAGCUCUUUUCUUGGACCAUUUUGGGAGGAGGCCUCUCUUGAAGCUGGGCUCGGCCGGAAUGGCGGUCUCCCUGGCGGGCCUGGGCUCAAUGUUCCUCAAGCGAUCAGGGACCAAGCCGAUGUGGGCCAUCAUGCUGUGCGUGGAGGCCGUCUGUGCGGACGUCUCCGUUCUUUUCAAUAAGGCUCGGGCCCAUCACUUGAGUCUACUCGUCCGAGAUAUUCCCGACAAGGCUGCAGGCCUGGGGCACGAGCCUGGCCAUAGCGGUGAACCAGGUGGUGAGCAGCACGGUGGCGAUGUCGUUUUUGAGCAUUUCGAGAGAGAUAACGUUUGGCUUAUAUUAGUUCCGGAUAAUUGAAUGUGCCUCAACUGGGAAAGUCCGUAUUUGGACUUGGAUCGUUGUUGACUCGGAGAAGUCCGAAUUUUGUUCAGAAAAACAAGAAAAGGAAAUCCAAGUUAGUCGGUCAAAAUCGAAAACGGAAAGUGCUGACCAUUGACCAAAUUUGGAAUCUUGAACGGGAUUUACGUGUCCAUGUUGCAGUAGGCCUGUGUAGGCUUGUCUUGACAGUUUAUAUAAUCUGAUUGAGGGCCUGCCAUUGUUGAUACGAAGUCUUGAAGUGCCGAAAGAGUGCUUGAGAAGCGUGGGCUAUCUUCGUGUCAUUCGUGUGGCGAAGCUUAUUUGUGCAAUUACAUCCAAAAAGAAUUGAUGUUCAAGCUAAUUAAAUUUUAUGUUAAGAUUUGCAUAUAAUUAUUUCAUGAGAUUAAGUGAUUAUUUCGCAAGAAAUUAUAAGGCUAAACACUAUGUGAGUUAUUAGGUGUAAUUGGGGUUUAUGAAACACUAAGAGUGUUUAAGUGACUUGAGUGUGUAAUCUUAUUUGUUGAUACGAAGUCUUGAAGUGCCGAAAGAGUGCUUGAGAGGCGUGAGCUAUUUUCGUGUCAUUCGUGCCGCGAAGCUUAUUUGUGCAAUUACAUCCAAAAAGAAUUGAUGUUCAAGCUAAUUAAAUUUUGUGUUAAGAUUUGCGUAUAAUUCUUUCAUGAGAUUAAGUGAUUAUUUCGCAAGAAAUUAUACGGCUAAAUAUUACGUGAGCUAUUAGGUGUAAUUGGGGCUUGGGAAACACUAAAAGUGUUUGAGUGACUUGAGUGCGUAAUAUUCACUGUAUCACUUAAUUUAUAGUGAAAUUCACUAAUACUCUUUCCGUGGAUAUAAGUCACUAUAACCAAACCACAUAAAUCUUGUGUAAGAUUAAUUUUUUAAUUUUGUUUAUUUUAUUAUUCGAUCGCUCGUUUUCCACAAUAAUUGGUAUUAGAGCAAGACUUGAUUAAGUUGAAUCAAAUCGAUGACGACAAAAGAAGGAAAAGUGAGAGUUGAUAGAUUUGAUAGGAAUGACUUUAGUUUCUGGAAAACAAAAUCUGACACGAAAUAAAAAUGUAUGAAUUGUGGCUUAUAUUAGUUUCGGAUAAUUGAACGUGCCUCGGUUAGGAAAGUCCCAUAUUUGGACUUGGAUCGUUGUUGACUCGGAGAAGUCCGAAUUUUGUUCCGAAAAGCAAGAAAAGGAUAUCCAAGUAAGUCGGUCCAAGGAAAAUCUAAAACGGAAAGUGCUGAUCAUUGACCAAAUUUGGAAUCUUGAAUGGGAUUUACGUGUCCAUGUUGGAAUCGGCCUAUGUAGGCUUAUCUUGACAAUGUAUAUAUUUUGACUGAGAGAGCUCUCACACGUCAUUGUUGAUACGAAGUCUUGAAAUGCCCAAAGAGUGCUUGAGAAGUGUGUACUAUCUUCGUGUCAUUCAUGCGGUGAAGGUUACUCGUGCAAUUAUAUCGAAGAAAAAUUAGUGUUCAAGCCAAUUAAAUCUUGUGUUGAGUUUUAUGUAUAAUUCUUUUAUGAGAUUGAAAGAUUAUUUUGAGAAGAAUCAUGAGGCUAAACACUACCUGAGUAUUAUGUGUAAUUGGGGCUUAGAAAACACCAAGAAUAUUUAACUAACUUGAGCGUGUAAUCUUUGUUGUAUCACUUGAUCUAUAAUAAAAUUUAACGCUGCUUUCUACAUAGACAUAGGUCACUACUACCGAAUUAUGUAAAUUUAGUAUAUGAAUUAUUUUCUUUAUUUUGUCUAUUUUAUUGUUCAAUUGCUCACUUUUUGCAAUAAAAAUUGCAUUGGGCCAGGCUAUUAUUGUACUCUCUCGCCUAAUUGGAAGUGCGACAUUCGCUGUUUUGACUGAAUGGAGAAAAGGCGAAAAAUAAUAAUGAUAAAAAGGAGAUUCUAGAUUGGCCCGAUCCACCGCCUGUACAUGUUUCGGCGUUUUAGCAAAGAACACCAGAAAAAAAAACCAAAGGGAAAAGGAAAAAUUAGUUUUGAUAUAUUUAAUCAGAUGAAAUUAACAAUUUAAUAUUUAUAGAGUUAGUUUUUGACCGUUGUGUUAACAUGUUACCAACGGAUACUAAGCCACUCCCCAAAAAUGCCUUUUAAUGUUAUUAUUGGCAAGGACGAUGGGUUUUACUCACAUUGUGCGUUCGGUGCAUUGUGUUGUGGUGAUAGAUGGAAAAGCAGAGGCAAUAAUAUUUGCAUAAACAUUGUGACAGGUUAAUGUUUUCUUAUGGAUCAAUUUCUCUUGCAAUAUGCCGUGUGAACUUUUAUGUACUUUAUCCUCCGCGAGAGAGAGAAAUGGCGUGUUGAAUUUGCUUUUAUCAAUUAUGGUGUUUGUUGGAAUCUAAUGUGCAACAGUGCAAGUGCUCCUCGUCACCCUUCAUGAUUUAGACCUUUUGAAUUGGUAAUCCUUCAUCAAUAGCUCAAAAUUAAGCUAUCGUUUCACCUUUGAGCUCAAAUCCUAAAACUCAAAGCAGCUACCCAAUUGCUUCCGCUCGAAAUUUGGAGCCUCUUCACAAAGCUUUGCCAAAGUCACCCUUAGAGUUGAUGAUAAUCGUGUGGACUAUUGAGCAAAACAGAAACAGUGGGACCAUGUUGGGUUUCAUUAACGACGCAAAUUAAGCAAAAUCUGACAGAGGAUGUGCUCAAGCUCUUCAUUACUAUUUUGCUAUGGAAGCCCCAAAGCAGUGUGGUUUUGCAAAGCCAGGGGCUAAAAAGGGAUGAAAUCGGAAGCCAAAAACAAUUGGGAAAUGAAGUGUUGGGAAAGACAGAGCAUUUCCCUUCUAUAUUUAGUUUUGUAGCACGUCUCACGUCAAUUAGCAUUCUCAUAAUAUGAUAAUGUCUAUCGAGUUCAUGUCAUAAUGAAAUGUCGCGCCCUAAACGGAAACUUGGAUUCCCUAUGGCAAGAACAUUUUCAUUUCCUGUCGCGAUUCUCUCAACCAAUUCAUUUAAGGACUUUUAGGGUGUGUUUGUUUUGCGAAAAACAAUUUUCGGGAAAACGUUUUCCUCAUUUUCUAGCGUUUGGUUCAUUUAGAAAAAUGAGUCAACAGAAAAUAUUUUCCUAAUCAACAGCAAAUGUUUUCCUUCCAAAACUUAAAUUCAGGAAAACGAUUUCCCUUUUAAAAGAACCGAAAAACAUUUUCCAAAAUGUUUUAAAGUCCUUGCUUAAAAAAAUUAUUAUUAAAAAUAAUUUCUAAUUAAAAAUUUUGAAUUUGUUAUUAUUAUAUCUUUUCUUUUCUUUCUUCUUUCUUUUUUUUUUUUUCUUGUUUUCUCUUUUCUUUCUUUGCGUGUGAACGUAAACCCUAACUCCUCCUCCCCUCUCUCCUUCUCCUUCGCCCUCGCCCCCUCCCUUUCGUCACUGCUACCUCCUCCAACCCUUAGCCCCUCCUACGCUCUCGUUGGCUUUACUCCCUCUUCCUCUUUGUCGGUGUCUUCUACACCUUCAAUCAUUUUUCAAAUGUAAUCCAAAUACCAAAAAAUAUUUUCAGUCACAUAUCACUAAACAAAGGAAAAUUAACUAUUUUCUUGGAAAACAGUUUUCAGAAAAAUAUUUUCCAAAAACGUUAUGUUUUUCAUGGAAAAAAAAAAAAAAAAAAACACCUUUAGGAGCGUUUUCGCAAUUGGGAGCUCCAAUCUUGCGCAUGGCCUACGGACGCCUCUCACCCUCCGACUACUUCGGACAGACAACCCUUCGGACGAGAAAACCUGACACCUUCCCCCGGCAAUUUGGAUCAAGUACCCCCUAGAUUCGGCUGCUCAUUCCAUCAUAGCCUUUCUGACGUCAUACUGCUCCACUAUGUCCUCUGCACCUAUCACACGGCACGUGGCACUUGAGGUUGCUAGGAUGGCUCACUCAUGACUUGGUCUUAAAUAGGAGUGUGUAACUCAAUCAAGUCUACUUCGGAACUAGAUCAGCUCACCCGAAAAAUAAGUUCGGAAAUCAAUUCCCAAAUUUUGAAAUCAGUUCUGAGUGAAUAUCUACUUGAUAACCAAAUUGACCAACCUGGUUUAAAAAUCAGUUUUAUAAGCCCAAAAGUUCAAAAUUCUAUCUUUUUUCCCCGAUUUCUAAUUUUAGAAUUACAUUUUUUUCCUCUCGCAUGGUGCCUCUUCUUCUUCGUUCCUCUUCUUGGCUUGCUUCCCUCCCUCACCGGCUCACAAUCACAAUCACACCAUCAAUUGCAUAGGAUUUUUGCUUCGCCUUGUAAUGUUUAUUUAUGAUAAUUAGCCUUAUGUAUUCUUUAAUUUCAUUCAGUAAAAAAGUUUAUGUACUUAUUGAUUACAUGUGCUUAAUGUUUCAAUACAAAUUAAAACGAUUACGCUAUUUUUUCGCAUACUAAUAUAAAAUUCAAAACUAUAUAGGAUAUUAGACAGUUACAAAACAAGUUCCUCUAGGAGUUGAAGAAUAAGGUGGUUCUAGAAUAGAGUCCAGUGCAAAUAAGUUCGAAUAAGAGUUCAAAAAAAUGAACCCAUUAUAAUAGGAUCGGGUAUAGGGUCUAGAUCUGAAACCUACCCACCUUAGACUUGAUCACCCUUAGUGUUAAAUUUAAUUUGCCAUUGCACAAAAUAAACGAACCCCAACAUCCCAGUUCAGCUCACGGCAGAAGACAUUGGCGGCGUCGAUUGACUUCAAUUAGAAUAAGGUCGGUGCACGAUAAUGCUACCAAAUGGUACAACUUAUUGUCGACUACAGCAAAGUACGGGGCCACUUGGACAAACAAUUACACCGGUUAAUUUUGGCAGGUCCCGAACCUAUCUUGCCAUCUACGUUGAAGAGUAAAAACAAGGAGGUUGAGAAACUAUUGAAGGCCACCAUCCUUCCCAUCUCCAGAUCUAGGGGUGUUUGGCCGCUAGGACCCGCGCUACUCGAGCCAGAUGGAUACAAGCCAUAUUCACCUGUUGGUUCCCCGUAAUGGCCGUCGCCGUAUUCGAGGUCGAGGUUACUCGGCCCGGCUCCGAUCCCAUCAUCAAGGUCAGCGGCAGAUUGAUGCCCUUCGAGGACUGGAGCAACCUGCUCAAUUUUUCAAAAGCUGAUUAUCAGAGUUCCUAUUUCCAUCUAACCUAACAAAUCUUAGAUCAACUAGACAUGAGUCCACGAACAAAAAGAGCUGUCACCAGUCAUGGAUGUAGCAAGUGGGCAAGUACGAAAGAAAGAUCAAACUCCGGCUGCUGAAAUAUUACCACACUCAUUUUCGGUCGACACUCCGCGAAUUCACGUGUGCAAGCAGCAGCGCAGGCCACCAUUCGAGCCAUUUCACUGCGGCUAUAAUGGUCCUGCAGCCUGGGGUCGACAAGAAAGUCGAAAUUUCCAUCUCCCAGAGCUUGUGUGAGUUGAGGCCUCGCCCGUAAAUCAUGACAACGAUUCUACUUCAAUAUUGCAAUUUCAACGACUGAAAACAUCAAGUUCGGAAUCCCAUAGUAAGGUAGCCCCGGGCUAUGAUGUAAACAUGAGAAUUGCACGACUUACGGAAAAAGCCAGAUUAUCAUUAGAAGAAUUAAGUGGCGAACCCACAGGUCUGCGGCCGGUAAUCAACUCCAAGAGGACGACCCCAAAUGAGAACGUAUCUGCGUUUGGGGUUAGUUCCCCAAUCGAGGCGUAUUCUGGAGCAACAUACCUACAGGAAGAACAUGAACUGAGCUUCAACAUAAUUGAACUAGUCAAGUACGUAGAAAACUGUGCUUCAACAAAUAAAGCUCGAGGUGAACUAGCAAGCAAUGCCUCAUUUUACAUACAUUUAGAAACAUCUAAGACAGAUUAAUAACCAGCGCAUGUCCCUGUCCUCUGAUUCAAAAUAAGAAGGCAGCAAAUCUUACCCGAUGGUGCCCACCACACUAGAGUCACCGUGAUUAAAUUCAGAAGCAAAUUUUGUGACCCCAAAAUCCGCAAUCUGAGAGAGACGAGCAUUCGGUAGUCAGCAAUCUGCUUGCUCUGAGAGUUAAGCAAUGGAGGUCGGAAAUAAUCAAAUUUUCAUUUUUAAAUUUAUCAAUAAGUUCUUUUUUUCUUCUUUUUUUUAACCUUCGCCUCAAAAUUGAAGUUCAAUAGUAUGUUGGCUGCCUUGAUAUCGCGAUGUAUGAUCGUAGGAUGACCUGCACGAACGUUUCUAUUGUAUAUAAGAGCAAAGCUCUGGGAUUCACAGUUUUAAUCAGCUAUAAAUCCAAUAAAGAUGAAAGGCAAAACUACAUCUGAAACUUACAAUCCUCGUGAAGAUAUGCCAAUCCUUUGGCAGAGCCAACAGCAACUCUCAUUUUGGCCUCCCAAGCUAGGGUCGGCUGUCCACCGCCUGCAACGAUUACUUUCCAUCAGAAUCCUUUCCAUUAAACGCAAAAGGCGCCAACUUCACUGAUUAGUGUUCCCUUUCUUUUUUUCACAUAACCCCAAAUGCUAAAUCGGACGCCGAAAUAAGACUGAUAAAGAAAGAGGGGGCAACAUAAAAGCUCGCAGCAUGAAUUGGCACUGAAAAUCCAGACUAACCACGUAAGUGUGACUCCAAGGACCUGUUAGGCACAUACUCAUACACGAGGAUGCGCUCGAGUCUGGUUACACAGUAUCCAACCAAAGUCACCACAUGCUUGUGAUGAAUGCGGCUUACAAUUUCAGCCUCAGUGAGGAACUCACGCUCUCCCUGCUGGCUCCCCACCUCCAGUCGCUUCACUGCUACAUCUUCCCCGUUGGAAAGGACUCCGCGGUACACGCGCCCAAAACCACCUUGUCCGAGUAGACUUGCCUCUGAGAAGCCGCCGGUGAACGCCUGCACUUGUUCAAAUGUAAAAUGGCACAUGCUAGAACCGAGAGAAAUGCUAGGGGAUGCGGAGCGAAGCAGCAUUCUCCUGUUCUUCAUAUCUAGACAGUAUUUCAGCACCAGAGUCAGCACCCCUGCUGCCAGCACCCCAGCAGCUGCCGCCGCCGCCAUCUGCUCCCUCAAUUUGGUGGACCAAGACGAAAGAGAAUUGGCCUAAGUGGACCCAGAAGAAGCUGGCGGCAUAGGAGAUGCCAGGGUGAUAAAGAAAAGAGAAAAAAUAAAUAAAAAUUCGAUUUUUUAAAAAAGAAAUCAAAUUUUUUAUUUUUUAUUUGAGACAAAGUCAUGACGUUGAAAUCAUUUUCCAACUAGAUCCAGAAAUUAGAUAAUGUUUUCAAUCAUAUAUUACUAAACAACGAAAAACUAGCUAUAUUUCCAAAAAGCAUUUUAAUUUAUUAUUGAGUUUUCCGUGUAAUAAAUGCAUCAUAAGAUUUUAUCACCAUAGUGUUUCACUUCAUCGCAUGCUCAAUGCAUUGUGUUUACAAUGACGUGUGGAGAAAUAAUGCCAAUUGCACCUACAUAAGUAUUAUUUCACGAGUUAUUGAUUAGCGUCACUAACGGUACGUUUUUAAUCGAUCACACAAACUUUUAUGGUUCUAAAUGCCCGAUGUUGAACCCAUUCUCUUUGUUCUAUGUUGUUUUUAAUCCAUUGCACGGACUUUUAUGCUUUUAUGGUGUUUGCUGUAAAUCUUACGUGCAUGUGGUCCUCUCCCUUGCCUUGUGAUUUAGACCUUUCAAAUACGUAAUCUCAUUAGCAUAUACUCAGAGCCUGAUAAUUAGUAGCUCGAAAAUUAAGCAACUGUUUCACAGGUUAAGAAGUAGUUAGUUACCCCUAUUGCUCUUUGAGUUCAAAUCCUGCCGUUUCAAAUCCUAAAACAAAAGUGGCUAACCAAACCAAAUUGCUUUGCGAAUGAUAUGACUCCAUUUCCACGAACCAAAGCGGCGAUCUGUUCUUCGUCAGUCACAUAGACCAAUUUGGGUAAUCAAGUCACAUGGGCUACUGAGCAAGAAAGAGCAUUUCGGACAAUGUUGGGUUCAUUGACUACAUGAAUUAAGCAAAAUCGACCAGAAGAUGUGCUCAAGCCCAAUUUCGUGAUUUAAGGCCCAAGUUAGGGUGGUUUUACGAUAAAAUGGGCUAGAAAAGGGACAAGAACGGUGGCCCAUAUAACUGGCUAUAGCCAGGUGGUAACUAGUCAAAGGCAAGUCUUAUUAGGAUGUCACGGAGAGUUUCGAUAGAAUUGGAACGAGGCCUGUUAAACAAGGUCUGACCAGUCCCCUAACCCUUCGGGUUUCAUGUCAAUUAGCAUCCUUGCGGCACAAUAACUUAUACUGAGUUCAUGUUGUCGUGAUAUGUUGCAAUCUAUUAUUUGUUUGAUGUGCCUCAUGGCACAUCGAUUAUGGAUUCCCACGUAACAAGAUCAUGUUCAUCUCUCAUGGUAACUCUCUCAUUGUAUGUCCUCCUCAAUUCAUUUAAGGACUUUUGGGAGCGAUUUUUCCAUUGAGAGCUCCUCUAAGCUUGCAUAUUGCCUACAAGUACGUCUUGUCCCUCUAACUACUUCCAAGAGCAUAACACCACUCACCUAUGAUUUGGCAUUGAGUGUGCUAAAGACAAUUGCUCGUCCUAUCAUAUAGAGGUGAGUUGUUUGUUGCUAUUAUUUCAUUUUUAGUUAAACCUAAUUUGUUGUCGUCGUCAUCGUCAUCGUCAUCGUCGUCAUUGUUUUUAAAAAAAAAAUUAAUUUUGACACAAAAGAAGUAUUGAAGUUACCUAGUUUUCUAGACCAUUUUAAGUGUGCCACAAUUAAAUGAGGACUCGGUGGCUAUAUCUAGUUGUUGAUAGUCCAUAACUUUGUUUUGACUUCAACAAAUCAAUUCAGGUUUAAAUGGCAAAAAUGUACUUGUAAAUAGGAGGUGAGCUGUUUUAGGUUCCAUCUAGGUUCUGUCUGGAAACUACUAUCGGAACAAGUUCCUCAUUAUUAGGAUCUUAAACUUACAUGCAUAUCUGAAACUCGUAAUAGAUCCACCGGUUCGGUUCUCCAGUUCCACGUUCUACCUUGAAACUAUGCUCAUCCUUAUUAUCAUAGUCUCUCUACUUUGUUGAGCUUAUUCUUAUUGCUCACAUGCAACAUUAAUAACUUUCCCUCGAUGUGAGAAAUCACUUAUGGACUCACCAGGGAUGCAUUUGGUUUACCCUACCAAUGGAUUUCGAGCCCUCUAAAGUCUCUUGAAGCAAAGCUAGAAUGUUUGAGUAAUAUUUUUUUUGUACCACUUUGGAGAAAUGCCAACAUUGAUAAAGCUAAAAGUUUAAGAUAAAUCCUCAACUAUGCUUUUAACAUUUUCUGAAGGUAGUUUCCAAGGUUGAUAAACCUUUUUUCUUCCAAAGUUGCCUCAACUAGUAUAUUCAUAUUCUUGUCUUGCCCAUGCUCAUGACUGUUCUUCUCCGAUGAGCUUUGUGCGCUUGGGUCUCUACCAAAGGUUGCGGUGCCUGGGUUUUCACCUGGUUCAUCAUCUCUAAUGUCUCCCUCGGUUGUGACUGUUAGAUGAGAUCUGAAGUUUGAGCGUCGAUGAUGGUCGACUUGCCAAUGGUCAAGAGUCGACAGUCGAGCGUCAAGGCGAGUGUUGGGAUCGUGCAACGGUUGACUUUUUUCGAGCGUCAUGGCAUGAAGCAACCACUUGCGGUCGUGUGACCUUGGCGUUGCUGCGCCUAGGGAGUGUGACCUUCGAAUCCUCUCCUGGGCUCACGGUGGCCCUACGAGCCCGAGCCCUUCAAACAAUGGAGAGUUGCUCCCUUUGUUUUUCAUUCUACUUUUUAACUUUAUGACCACUUGGCAAAAAUUCAAACAAAAAAUCAAAGCAAAUACACCUUGAGCCAAGGAUCUUUGGGGAAAUGACUUUGCAUCUUCCAAAACUCAACCUAAUGCAGCCUAAUGGUCCUCUACACCUAUCACUUGGCAUGUGGCACCCGAUCUCAUGAGGAUUGCUCGCUUAUCCUCUCACUUCCUAUCCGACUCAGUCCAAUUGACAUUAUUAACUGUAUACAAUACUUCCAAAUUUGCGUUUUUAUUUUAGGUAACUAUCGAUCUCACUCCAUAAUAGUCUCAUCUUGUUGUUCUUUCCUGCAAUUUGUACUUGGGGGAAGCAGAAAGUGUCUUUGACGUUUAAUAACAGAGCUUUAAUCUGAUUUGAAUCUAAACUUUUUCCUUCCGGGGUUUAUCCCUCUGCCCCCAUUGUUCCUAUCACCAAUACAGAAACAAAUCUUUGUCAAUGGCUACUCUCCCAUCAAACAAAUCUUGAAACUUUGGCAAACUUCCUUCUUUUACUCCACCCAAGUGUGAACAUGCCAAGAUUCCUCCCUCAAGAAAUCAUAAGAUAAUAGUUUCUACGAAGCAUCUAGACAGCCCCUUGCACGGCUCUGAGGAACCCUAUUUGCAUGCAAGAGUCGCCAUGAUGGCGACUCAGACCGGUUGCCUAGUCCAUCUUGGUGUUCCGAGAGGUGAAAGGACAUUUAAAAAAAUCGACAAAACGUGGAGUUUAUUGUCGUGUUGGGUCCGCAUCGCAAUCCAUGCUUAUCACCAUCAACCAGUUGGUGCUGUUCAAGAGGCGUGUGUUGCCCACGUGCCCACCUUGCUUUUUCAGAGGCAAAGUGGCUUUUCUCCUCCAAAAAGCAAAAACAGGAAGGAUGAUCACCUCUUUCUAGGUGAGACGCAUGAUGCACCUCGAUUCAAGGACCAUAUAUCUGAUCUUUCGAGAAGGUAUUUUAUUCCCUAGAACGCUCCUCGGAUGCGUCGCGUGUCCAAAAAAAAAAAAACCUUUCCAAAAGCAACUCGAUAUAAUAAAAAAAAAGUACUUCACGAAAUUCAAAUGUUAAAUAAUUAAAACUACAUAUUAGAUUAGUAAUAUGAUCGGAUUGUCAUACCGUGUUAAAGAUGUAAAGUAUUUUGUGUGAAAAAAUGCUACCAAUGCAAUGUUAGGUGCGGACAUUAACUAGAUAAAAGUUAAAACCCACUUAGAAUUAGAAAGUUGGGAAUAUAAAUUUUUCAGACUUCUAUUAUUUACCAUUUUAUAGACUAAGCAAAGUACAUUGAUAUCUACUCACAAUUUCAAGGGCCUAUUUUCUCUUAUACCGGAUGCAUUGCAUCUUUGAAAUAUAGACCGGACUGAUGACUCUUUUGAUGGUCAAAACUUUGCAUUUGACUUUGCAACUUCCGUGUGCAUGGUGUCUCCAUGAGAGGGCAUAUUCCAAUUGCAAAGCGAUUGGAUCUCCAUAAAUCGAGCAAUGACAUCAAUUAUUGAUGAUUACAUUUUAUAAAUUUGCCUAGCUGUUCACUUAAUGAUUGUAUAUAUGGUGGAGCUAAUGAUUAUGUAUUAUCUAUCACUUUAUAGUCAAUUUAAAGUCCAAAAUAUUCCAAACUUGAUUAAUCUUCUCUUAUGUAUAAUUGAUAGAAAAGUGAUUUAUUUGUCAGUCAUAUAGCAACUACUUAAUCACAUUAUUCAUGGUAUGCAUGUCAUUUUGCAUAGGGUUCUAAUCUAAAGAUCACUCAUUUUGAAUUGGGUUGUUGCACUAUGUCAUUGUGACGUACACUAACUAUCAAAUUAAGUACCUUUUUGUGAUUGAUGGGUGGUGAAUCAUUUCUUGUGUGCUCUUAAGACCCUUUGAACAGUUCAUUACUCUUCAUUGAUAGACGUGCAAUUGUGACUAUUCUCUUGCCCUCUGCACAUAAAGGAGCGUCCAUGCUCAGGUGGUUUUAGAGGACUAAACAUACGAAACAUUCGAGAGUAUGAGGCAUUUGAUGAUUUUCAACUCAGAAACUAAAGAUUAUUUGUCGAAAUGUCACUCACCGUUCAUAAUCUCUUGUAAGGUGUUCCUCGAAUCUCCAGUUGCCAGACCUCUACAAUUGACCCCUUGAAUUAUCCAUUCAAAAAGAUAUACAAAUUUGAUUCUUUUUACACACUGCUUGAGCGAGGGAAGACAAACACUUUCCUAAUCUUCUGCGGUUUGUCUUCUUGCGCACUUGUCUAGACCCAUUGCAUUUCCUAGUCCUCCAACAUUUGUUAUUUCUUUGAACCACGCGACACUAUUUCGUCAUGAUACGCCGUGAGUUUGGACACAAAUCCAAAUGGGCAAAACUUAAGGAGGAUCAGGACAAAAUAAUUAAUGGAUAAAAAGCUAAGACCUAUUCUCUCUCUUAUGAUCAUCUUCACCACACGCCCUCUUCUUGAAAACUCGCAGUAUUCCCAGAAACAACCCAAGCUUAACUCUUCGCUCAUUUCAACCGCCGCUCAUGCAGGACUCACUCAAACACUUGUAUGAUCCGCUUGUUCCCGAGUCAGACCCUGUUUUUUCUGAAGAGGAUCUCGCAAGCCCCAAGAAAACAGUCCGGCUCCAAGAACGUAGAGUGGCGGUGGAAGGCGGUGGUUGCCGGAAGCCUCGCCUGAACAGAUAUGCUCUGGGUGGUGCCAUCUUGGCCUCCACCAACUCUAUUUUGCUGGGCUAUGGUGAGUUCUUAGCACAAACUUUUUCCAUUAUAUUACUUUCUGUAUGUACAUAAUGUCUUGAUCCUGCCCCAAGAAGAGAGAAGAUAGGUCCAUGGUAGUAUUAAUUGGUGUAUUUAGAUUGGUCUUCCCCCUGUUUGAUGGAAAGCAAAGCCAUGGUUGAACUCGAUGCUGAAUUUUUGUGUAUAUAAAUGUGUACAGAUAUUGGGGUGAUGAGUGGGGCGGUGCUAUUCAUCAGAGAGAGCCUCAUGAUCACACCAAUCCAGAUUGAGAUCUUGGUGGGUUCGCUCAAUGUGGUCUCGCUGAUUGGAUCUCUCGCCUCUGGCUGGACCUCCGAUUGGAUCGGCCGGCGAUACACGAUAGUCCUUGCAGCCUCCAUGUUCCUAAUUGGUGCACUUCUGAUGGGCCUUGCUCCAUCCUUCACGUUCCUAAUGGCUGGGAGGGUGGUCGCGGGGAUUGGUGUCGGGUAUGCCCUCAUGACCGCCCCAGUCUACGCUGCUGAGAUCUCUCCAGCGAUGACCCGGGGAUUCAUGUCUUCGUUGCCUGAAGUCUUUAUCAAUGUGGGGAUUUUACUUGGGUAUGUAUCCAACUAUGCCUUGUCAGGCCUACCAGUUGAUAUAAGUUGGAGGCUCAUGCUCGGGUUAGCAGGAGUGCCGGCGAUCGCAAUCGGGGCAGGAGUGAUGACGAUGCCAGAGUCACCAAGGUGGCUGGUCAUGGAGGGCAGAUUCGAAGAAGCAAAGAGGGUGCUGAUCAAGACGUCAGAAGAUGAAGCAGAAGCUGAAUUGAGGCUCAGUCAGAUGAAGACCAACAUAGUGGUAGAUGGUUCCACUGGCCCUGCUUCGGCCCGAAGGUGGGGGCAGGGUGUUUGGAAGGAGCUCCUCUGGAGGCCUGUGAGGCCUGUCCGCCGGAUUCUCAUAGCGGCCAUCGGACUUAACUUCUUCAUGCAGGCGUCAGGGAACGACGCGGUCGUGUACUUCAGUCCGGAAGUCUUCCAGGAUGCCGGGAUUAGCAAUAAGCAACAGCUAUUAGGGGUCACUAUCAUCAUGGGACUGGCCAAGACAUUCUUUGCCUUUGCUUCGGCUCUUUACUUGGACCACUUUGGGAGGAGGCCUCUCUUAAUGUUGGGCUCGGCUGGAAUGGCGGUCUCCUUGGCGGGCCUGGGCCUGGGCUCGAAGAUCAUUGAGAGAUCCGGGAGCAAGCCGGCGUGGGCCAUUGCACUGUGCGUGGUGGCUGUCUGCGCGGACGUCUCGUUCUUUUCGAUAGGGCUCGGGCCCAUCACUUGGGUCUACUCGUCUGAGAUAUUCCCGACAAGGCUGCGGGCCCAGGGCACGAGCCUCGCCAUAGCGGUGAACCGGGUGGUGAGCGGCGCGGUGGCGAUGUCGUUUUUGAGCAUUUCGAGGGCGAUAACGUUCGGGGGCAUGUUCUUUGUGUUUGCAGGAAUCAUGGGGUUGGCGACCGUGUUCUUUUAUUUCUUCUUGCCCGAGACCAAAGGCAAGAGCUUGGAAGAGAUUCAGGUCCUUUUUGAGAAUGAAGACACUGCAAGCUCAUAAAAUUGAGAUUGAUCAAGCAUGAUUUUUCAUGUAAGAAGUUCCUUGGGCUUUGUUUUGCAGCUAAAAAUGUCAAUGGAAUUUAAUGCUAGGGGGUUUGCUUUGUAAUAUAUGUACGUAUUAAAUAGGGAAUAUGACAUUACAAACACCAAAACUUUCAUAUUAUGUUUACAUCAGUGCUAUCAAUAAUUUGAGUUGUCAAUAAUUUGAGUGGUCGAAAAAUCCAACAUGUCAUUAAUUUUAAAUAAACGAUCCGACUUGACUUACUAGUAAAAUAAAGUCAACAAAAUAAGAGGUAAAUAAUGUGGUUUCACGAUUAUUUGCAAAUUCGAUUUAUUUUUCAAACCUCAAUCCCUCAAUUUUUUUCUCUCUCCUCCAUCUUCGGUCACCGCCAACCUCUAUCCUAGGCCCUGUAGCGCUGCCAGCAUCGUCAAUCUUUUGCUUGGUAGGCAGAGAACCUGUACAUUGCAGUUCUCUCUUGCUGGGAACAACUCUCUCCUUGUGAAGUGCGCAAGGCUUGCUAGUGAGAAAAUUCGUUUUCGGUUGGUUCUUUCCAGUUUUGGUCAACAUAUUUCAGAGUAGGAAUUGUGUUGCUGCUCCUGGAUAUAUGAUUUUAUGGCUUGUAACUCAUGUGAGGUUCAGCCAUUAUUACGUUCAAAGGGUAAUACUAAUGGCAGUCCAUUUAGUAGAAAAAUCCAUCUUUUGCGGAUUGGUUUGAGCAAGAAAGGACGGCACUGUUUUGACGGUUCAAAAGAACCUGUCGCUAUAAUGAUCAAGUCUUAUAUGUCUAUGUGUCUGUAUUGAUAAGUCCAGAUCAAUUCUCAUCCUUAGGCCGUCGCCCCCGGGCAUUGCCCAUCGGUUAGCCCGCGGUUUGUGUCAAUUGUCACUCUCCUCGAGACUUGUGACCAAUGCAGGCGGCGUCGUUGGCCGUGGGUGACACUAUAUCUAAGGUUGACCAUAGUUUGACAAAGCUGGAUUUGGUCUCAGGAGGUCGGCGCGUGAUGCACAAGAUAAAGGGUAAAGCUCGAGGCUUGGGGAUUGAUGCUUGAGGCUGUGGUUAAUGACUCGGCGCCGAGCUUCCGACCCCAAGGGAACGAUGACAAGGUGUGUGAGCUACUAUGGCGGUGGCCAGAGGUGGCGGAGCCAAUCGUUGUCCCAGGUGUUGGUCAACUGGGUAAUUUUUCCUCAGAUGAAGUCGAUUUAGUUAGAAGUGUCACAUGGUCUUGUCCUCUAUCCACAUUGAAAUUCUAUUUUUCCUAUAAAAAAAGAUUUGCCAAACUCAAAAAUUCAACGAAAAAAGCCACUUAGGGCUUUUAUAUGAAAUAUAUCAUUGAUAUGAGACUCAAGUGAUUGUGAAAUAUAGCCCAACGUGAGCAUCAUGUGAAAAUAAUGAGACUGAAGUAAAAGUAAUAUGAAAAUUAUGGCAUUUAUAGUAUUAUUUUGCCUCAAAUUAAGCUUUACUAAUUUUUUCUUCAUCUGGCCAAUGUGCAUUGGCAGGGGGUCUUCUUCUCCUCCUUUGUAAUUACAAGUGAGGUUUGUACUGAAAUUAAUUAUGCCGUACGUGCAAAUGAUGGGAAUGAAGUAGCUUUAUGCAUUAUGCAUAUUUGGGUUGUCUUGUCACGACGUGGUUAACUUGUCCAAUUGCCUUUAGAAGAAAGAUUUUGUAAAUGAACAAUGUUGGCAUAAAAGAACGGGUUAAUAUUAUAAAAAAAAUCAAAAUUAAUAUAUCUAUAAUAAAUUUACUCAUAUUAAUUUUUUGAUCAUAAAAAUUCUUAAAUUAAUAGACUUAUGACAAAUUUACCCUUCAUUAAUUUAUAUUAUAUACUGAGUUAGAUGACGUAUUAUAGCUAAUGAGUAUACCAGUUUAAAAUUUUACAUUCCGUUUGUCACAUAUAUACUAGUGUAUGGUUUUUUGUUGUAUUAUUUAAUUUAACCAAAAUUAAUGGAAGGUAAAUUUAUCACAAAUAUAUUGGUUUUUGGAUUUUUAGUAUAAAAAAUUGAUUCGGGGCAAAUUGAUCGCAAUUGUAUCAGUAUUGGUUUUUUGUAGUAAAAAAAUUAUUUCGCUUUUUUGUGUUAUUAAUCCUAAAAGAAUUAAUUCCAUAAAUAUUUGUUAAGGAUCGGUAUGGGGCACAAGGAAUUUGUACCCCGUGAGGCGAAUUUUUCCUGCAAGGUAUUAAGCGAGGCAGGGGGCGGGGCGGGGCGGGGCGGGGCGGGCGGGGUAUUAGCCUUGCCCCGCCACACGAAUUUGCCCUGCAUUUUCAAUUAAUUAUUUGUGACAAUGUAAUUAUGCAACGAAAUAUGAAAAAAGGCCUAAGAACAACCUGUAAGUAUGUGGGACAAUUCUUUCCAUAUGUCCGUCGUUCUGAAUCGUCCCAUGUCAAUUUGGAGCUUGUUUGACUCUACAAUUCUAAAGAUUCGACUCUGCCCAAUGAUCUAUGUCCCUCUCAUCCACUUGACCUCGAGGGUAGAAUCUUGGCCCAACUUUUAGGCUAAAGAAAAUUUGGCAACUCGAUUUGGCCCCGUCUAGUGUCCUAAAAAUUAUAUCCAAACUUGUUAAGGUCCUAUUUGGUAAAAGGUCAAUUUUUACCCUGAUUAUGUCCAAUAAGUUUCAGUCUCCUCUAUUACGUGGUUUGCAUAAGAUGGUUCUUUUUUACCCUGAUUUCUACUGUCUACUUGCAGUUCAAGGUGGUGAUCCUACUCGCUCCAGCACACGUCCCUUCUCUCUCUAUUGAAAUGGAAUUGCAGGGAUUUCAAGCAAAAACUAAUUGGUUCAGUUAGCAUAGAGGGUGUUGUUGAUAGUUAUUGUUGUUGGUGAUGGCUGAUGUGUUAUUGUCGUUCUGUUGCAUUAGUUCAUGUGACACCAGAGCUUGCAUUAGUUCUUGCUUUAAUUUAGUGUAUUCUUUCUUUUUUGUGGUAAGGGAAGAACAAAAGAUUGACUUUGGCUGGGUUUUGCACAAAUAAAAGAGAUAUUGUGCUGCAAAGAUGGUUCUUUGAAAAGGAAAUUAUGAAUAUAGAACAAUGUCGUUUACAAAUUCUUCAACGUAGGUUAGGUCCUAUUGUUUGUUCUAUGUUCCCGCUUUUACUUUCUCUUUGCGCCAUAGAUGUUGUGAGCUAGUGAUAAGGUUACUUAUCAUUUACUUUCUUGUGAUAACAUAUGGCAAGUGUAAAUCUUCUUUUCUCAUGUUGAGUUGUAAUUAAUCAUUCUUUUUAGAUAACUGAAGUGUGAAGGCAAUCCAAAGAAAGACCACCGAAACUAGUAGGAUAGGGUAUCUCUACAAUGUCCCUUGCAAGUUCAGGAGUGGUUUUAGAGUAAGUGAUGAGCUUUGCUCUUGUUUGAUUGUCUCUGGAGAUAAUGUUAUCUUUUGCACUUGGUGAUGGAAUUUUUUUGGCUUUUUUGCUGAUUUAUGGAGCUGAUGAUUAUGUAAGUACUGAAGCCGUGCAAAGGAAGCACGUAGCACCAGCUUCUGCUUAAUUGUUAUGAUAGUUUUGGGGCAUAAUCAUGUAAAUUUGAAGGAUUCAGUUAUCUAGACGCAGGGAACUUUUGGCAUAUACAGUUGCCCUUUAAUAUACUUUGUUUUUAUUUCAUCUAUUGUGGCAUUAUUUGCAAUUUUGAAUGAGCAAAGAUUAAGCUUACCAUUGUUUUAGAACUGUCUAGUGAUGUGGCAAUCGGCCAUUGAUGCUCUUGCAAUGCCUACUUGUCCUUAGUUAUAACUUUAAUCUCUCUUGAUUGAAGCAAGUUGCCGAGUCCUAUUAUGGUAAUCCUGACUGAGAAUGUGCCCCUUCUCAACCUGUAUCAUCUCACAAGAUGUUUGGUACGCAACGAGAUGGUUAUUUGGAGGCAAAAAUUUAUCCUGUUCCCUCCAAUAUUUAGAUUAUGCCCAACUUAAAUCUUCUAAAAAAUUAAGAGACGGACAAUGACAUGCACCAUCAAGUCACAAUCUAUUAAAAGGUUGAGACAUUUUUUAUGCAAAAGAUAUAACGAGAUCAAAUUUGACCUUGUUGAGAUUAAAACAGAAGCCAUGGACUUAAUUUUACCUAUACACAAUCAACAUUUCUAAACUUUUCUCAGUGAAAUGGGGUGGCUUCACUCGCUAGUACUUUAAAAAAUGAUAAAUAGAUGAAAAGAGACGGACCCUUUCCUUCGAAGAAAUGCAUCUCUAUUUUCAAGUUAGAGCAAGAACAAGAAAAUUGUCAAGACCUGCGAUUGCACCUCACCUUUUUGCAUUCCGACAGAGGGUUAUAGGGGCGCUAAACUAAUAAUUUCAUAGGCAUCACCCAGGGUUGAGCUUUGGUAUGGUAGUCACCACUAAAAGUUGACUGGGAGAUCACUAGAAAUUCAUCCCAGCUAAAAGGAAAUGAUGGCGGUCCUUUGAAGCAAACCUAGCAAUAUCCCGAUCUCCUUACAACGAGACAGAGCCAAAUCUUGGCUGUUUGUCACCAGGCUUAGCGAGGUAAAUGAAUUUCAGAUCGUAAGUAUAACAUAGAGAAAGUCUUAUUCCUUAAAUGUAUUGCCUUUUCAAUAUCAUGCACGCUCUAUAUUGGCUUCUCAAUACCAAGUACAAAGAUAAAGACCAAUUCAAAGUUAAUUCCACUUUCUCAAUGAAGCAGAUUGAUCUCCCCAUAAAUGCUUCACAAGACCAAUUUCAUGAAGCUGACUGACAAGCUUCUCCUCCUUCAGAGUAAAAGGUCUAUGUUUAUGUUCGGACUAAGAUUGUUUGUCCACCUUAGCUAGCAAAUCUUGCCGCAAUGAAGAAGACCUAACUGUAAUUAGACAGUAGAAACCUAGGUAAAAAAGAACAAGGCAGUUUAUGCAGACCACGUAAUAGAGGAAAUUGAAUCUUGAUGGAAAUAAUCACAUACAUCACCACAGCCAUCACCAUACAUAUCCAUCCACUAAAGCAACACCUCAUUUGAACAAGAACAAAGUGGAAAAGGUAUUUUACAUUAAAAUACCUAACUGCAAGCAGACAGCGGGCAUAACCAGCUUAUUGUGCUUCCUCAAUACUAUAAGCAAAGAGCCAAAAAAAUUUAAUUAAGUAGGAGAAAUAUAUUGACAAGAUCAUCCAACUUAAAUACACAAAUCUAGCUAGCUUCAACCACUAAUGCCCACAGUCAAGACAUUAGCUCACCCGACCAUCAGGAGGUACAGACAAGGUUAUGAACUUGAAAACCAAAUUCCUUCAAAUUCAGAAAUUAAACGAUGUUGAAGAGCAUGAUAAUACUACACACAUAAUCUUAAGAUCAAGGACUUCACUCAAUGUGAAUUAAGCUCAAUUAUUGUCCAUACAACAAUUUUCGAUUCUACAUGACUUCACCACUCAUUUAAUAUUCCUGUUGUUGAAAGACCAAAGUGACAAAACAAGUUGGAAAUUUCCUCUUCUCACAACAAAAUCUAUCUUCAGCACAAACCAAUUGAAAGAUCUAACCAUCUUUUCAAUGCGUGCACUCCAAACUGAAGAUAUGUUAGAAACUUCUUAAUCUUCGGAUAAUAAAUAAAUCAGAACGCAAGAGUUUCUUGAACCUGCGAGGGACAUUGCGGAGAUACCUCAUCCUACCAGUUUCUAUGGUCUUCCUUCGGAUUGCCUUCACACUCUAGUUAUCUAAAACCAGUGAUUAAAUACAACUAAAUGUGUGAAAAGAAGAUUUACUCUUGCCAUAUGCUGUCACAAGAAAGAAAAUAAUAAGCAACCUCAUCACUAGUUCACAACAUCAAUGGAGCUAAGAGAAAGCAAAAGCAGGGACAACAGAGCAAACAGCAGAACCUAACCUACAUUGAAGAAUUUGUACAUGACGGAUUUCUAUAUUCAUAAUUUCCUUUUCAGAGAAGCGUCCUUAGAGCACAAUCUCUUAUAUAUUUGGGCAAAACCCAGCCAAAAGCCAAUCUUUUGUUCUUCCCCCCACCCUAGAAUACACGAUUGACUUGUGUAGAUCCUACAUUGAAGUAAGAACAAAUGCAAUCUCUAGUCACAUGAACAAAUGCAAUAGAACAUCACUAACACAUCAGCCAUCACUAGCAACAAAACCCCCUAUGCUAACAGACCCAACCAAUUGCUCAAAAUCCCUGUAAUUCCAUUUCGAGAGGGGGGGAACCUGUGCUGGAGCCACUAGGAAAGAAUUGACACCCUGAACAAGGAAGUCAUCGACAAUGCGGUGAAAGAUGGUGCCGUCGUAGUAACAUUUGAGGCAGAGCUGAAAGAAGUUCCUCACGGCCUUAGGCACUUCUUCUGGCCAGAGCUUGAUGUCCAGUGGGCCGUGAGUCAUGUUCAGCACUAACAUACACAGUCAACGUCUUCUUUUAUCCAAUUUCUACAAGGAUUCUGGGUGCAGUGAUCUCGAUGAAGACGAAUCUCUGAUUUCAGCGUUUCCUACCCGAUUGCAUUGUUCCAAGGAUAUUUAUAGCUCGAUAGAGGAAGAACACCCAAACGACGUCUUCAGCCACUAGUACCCGAAAUGCUACCAGAUGAUCCAGAGACGUAAAGUGGACGAGAUCGUGGAUGGGAUGAGGUGUGAUAACGAGCUCGUCGGAGGGACGCAAUCGGACCGAGGCCUAUAAGUUGUUGAGGCUAAGAGAUAUGGUGCGGCCACAGUAGACACAGCCAGGGUUCCCAAGAGACCGGCACGAGCGUGCGUGGGGGAGAGAGAGAGAGAAGUCUGAUGAAUCGUAGCAACCAAUGAGGCUCCGGAGGCGACGGUGGAGGCGAAGGGGGCUCGGGACUGAGCAACUGAGACUGAGCGAGGGUCAUGGGGGAGGCGAUGUGCUAGAGGCAGAUCUUAGCAGCACCUGCGACCUACGAGGGCCUUGGGAGAGGCAGCGGCGGAGGCGGAGGCGGAGGCGAGCAAAUAGGCGCGCGGGAAAAUGAGAGAGAAGGUGUCUUCGUCUUUUCUUCUCGACUCAAUGAAGGAGAAGGCAAAAAAACGCUUGCAAAUUGAAAAGAGGACAGAGAUUUUUGAGCGGCAAGAGCAUUAAUUGUUGUUUUUCCCAAGGCUUUUUUCAGGCGGCUGACAGAAGAAAUAGAAAAAGAAAGCCUCACAUUUUAGACAUUUCCAUUUUCCAGCCAGGUCAGUGGACACAUGUCGAAAUUUUAGUGGAGCCACCUAGGUUCGUGCGCACCAGUGCGCGUCAUGUUGGACGAUGGUGAUUGCCAACUCUGAAUAUUUUCUCCAUCAACACGGAGUCCGGCAUUAAAGCCUCUGCGGCUGCGGCUGCCCUCCACUGACAAACAUUCCAUGACGUAUGGAAGGGCACGCAUGCAUGGAAACUGUCGCGGACUUUUUUAUUCUAAAAAAAUCAAAUUAAAUGGUUGGAAUUCCAGCGCCACCCGCUCUUUGCCUCUCAAAGAUUCUGAGGAAUUUGCCACGCUCCCACCCAAUUUCAUAUUAUUAACCGCUCAACAAAAAUGGGGCUACAAAUGAGAGGCACAUCGAAUGACACAACGAGAUCGUAAGGUAAUUGCGAGCUAGAAGAAUUACAUUGCUCGUGUAAUAAACUUAGGGACGGUCACCUCUAAAUUCAGAGUGAACAUCGUUCGUAAACAGGAGAGAAAGUACUUCCGAGAUCCUUGAUUCGAAUGUGGUUUAUUUCUUGAUUAUCUCGUGUGAGGGAGGAGAUUCUAUAUUAUAUGGCAGAGUAGGCGAUCAAACUCAUGUCGUUUACAAUGUACCUUCACUCCACCCCACUCCCCCCAUCCGAAUGUCCCCAGAUAAAAAUGAAAAUCACGUGUAUUCUUGACUCCAUCUAAUUUAAUUGGAAGGCCAAUUCUAAAAGCACCGGAAAAAAGGCAGACCUGACAUUUCAUUACUAGAUGACGCUUGCAAUGAUUCCUGAGAAGGUAAGGUCGGCAACGAAUCGAUCGGAGAUGGAUCCUCCAUAAGUACUGCCCGACCCUCCUAAUCAUCAAAAAAGUAUUACCUCUUCAAUUGAACUGAAUUCCAAAAGGAAAAAUUUUGUAUAAACGCUCUUGAUGUUUAUUCUUGAAUUCAAAGGAGACUUCGAACACAGUCCCCGUCACAAAACGAACUAAUGUAUCAGCAUACAAACGAAGACGCCAAUGCCGACACCGACACAUUGAUUGAGUUCGAUUUCAACAAGAAAAUACUAAAAGCUUCAGAAACUCGAAGCUACCACCAUAUAAAUUAUUAACCCCGUUCUUUGGGGUAGGUUCUACCGCAACCACUCACUCGGACACAAGAUCAAUGACAAGAUCAUCAACAACCGCCAAGGCCCACGUCUCGUGAGCUCAAGAGCCUCUGCUGAAACCUUGAUUGUCUCUCUCCAUCCUUCCCAUCUCCAGAUCUCGGGUUGUUCAGCGGCAACGACCCUCACUGCUCGAGCCAGAUGUAUGUUCCCUGUAAGGGCUGCUGCCGUGUACUUGGCUAGCUAAUGGCAUCCUGCAAGAGUUUCCGUGGUCUUGGCUGGUGCCAUCGUCUGAACUUCGUAAGAAACGGUAGAGGAUACUCAGCCCGGGCCUGAUCCCAUCAUUGAGGUCAGAAAGAGGUAGACCUCCCUUGAGGGCUAGAACAAUCUGCUCAUUUUUUCAAAAGCUGAAUGUCAGAAAUUCCUAUUUCCAAAAAACCUAACAGAUCUUAAAUGAACUAGACAUAAGUCAGUGAAAAAAAGGAACCGUAGUUAGUCAUGAAUGUUGCAAGUGGCAUCUAUUAAAGAAAGAUUGAGCUCAAGGUACUAAAAUAUUACCUUACUCAUCUUUGGUCGACGGCCCGCCGAUUGACGCACGCAAGCGGCUGCACAUGCCACCAUACGAGCCAUCUCAUUGUUGUCAUAAUGGUUCUGCAGUUUAGGAUCGACAAGUAGGUUGAACUCUCCAUCUUCCAGAGCUCGUGUGAGCUGAGGCCUCGCCUGUAAAUGACCAUAACAAGGAUUCUAUUUCAAUAUUAACCUUCAGGACCCAAGAAAAAAAAUGAGGGUCUAAUAGGUAGCUUGGGGCUAUAAUUAUGAACUUGACAACUGCAUGACUUACCCAAUCAACCAGACCCAUAGAAUUCUCUACAGAACCCCAAGGUUUGCGACCAGUAAUCAACUCCAAGAGCACCACCCCAAAAGAAUAAAUGUCUGAUUUUUCUGUAAGUUUCCCAGUCAAGAAGUACUCCGGAGCAAGAUAUCUACAAGGAAGAACAUAAAUUGAAUCGCAACAUAAUUGAACUAGUCAAAUAUGAACUAGCGACCAACGGCUCAUUUACAAACACCGAGACAGAUUAAUAGCCAGCUCACAUCCCAAUCUUCCGAAUCAAAAUACGAAUGGAGCAAAUCCUACCCAAAGGUGCCCUUCACCUCGGUGAACACAUGACUCUUUGAUUUAGAAAUACAUCUUGCGAGUCCAAAAUCUGCAAUCUGAGAGAGAAAAGCCUUCCGAAUUCAGAGGGGGUGCAAUCUAAUUGCUCUGAAAGUAAACCAAUUGUAGUAGGAAAUAUCAAUGCCAACUGUUAAAUAAGUUUGUUUUUACCUUUGGCUCGUAUUCAGAGUCCAAAAGUAUGUUAGCUGCCUUGAUAUCGCGAUGUAUGAUCUUAAGAGCACCUACACAAGAAAAGUUGCUCAUGUAUACGAGAGGAAAGCUCUAAAAAUUCACAGCUUUAAUCAACUAUCGAUUCAAUAAAGAUGAAAUGGAAAAAGUACAAUUGAAACUUACGAUCCUCAUGCAGAUAUGCUAUUCCUUCUGCAAAGCCCAAAGCGAUUUUCAAUCUAGUUGGCCAAUCUAGGUUCUGUCCUCCCUCUCCUGCAAUGACCAUUUUCCAUCAGAAGCCUUUCCAUGGUAAGUACAGAGCACAAAAUUCUCCGAUUAAUUUCCCUUUCUUUUAUCACGUAAUUCCAAAUGCUAACUCAGAUAAUGACAUAAGACAUAAAGAAAGGGGGCACAACAUAUGAGCUUGCAACAUAAAUUGGCGCCCAAAAUCCAAACUCACCAUGUAAGUGGAACUCCAAGGUGUUGUUAGUCACCAACUCGUACACGAGGAUGCACCCGGCUGUGCAGUAUCCAACCAAAGAUACCACAUGUUUGUGAUGAACUCGGCUCAUUAUUUCAACCUCAGUCAGAAACUCACGCUCUCCCUGUCCGCUCCCCACCUUCAGUCGCUUCACUGCUACAUCUAUUCCAGUGGGAAGGACUCCGCGAUACACGUGCCCAUAACCACCUUCUCCAAGUAAAUUUGAGAAGCCAUCGGUGAACUCCUUUACUUGGUCAAGAGUGAAAUUGCACUUGGUGGAACUGACAGGAAUGAUAGGGGAUGUAGAGCAAUGCGGCCUUCUCCUUUUCCUUCUCCUAAUCUUGCAAUAUAUAAGCAACAAGCAUAUUACCACCAGCAGCACCAACAGCAGCACCAUGUGCUCCCUUGAUAUGGUGGGCUGAGACAAAGGAGAUGUAGACCCAGAAGAAGCUGGCAGCAGAGGGGAUGCCGGGUGGUGGUGGCCAGCGAUGGCACGGUGUCAGCUGGUGCGGAGAUGGUGAGGAGCCCGGAAGUGAGGUUUAAAUUGCUUUCGACGAAAGGAUUGAAUGCACUGCAGAAUGACACUUGGACUGAAUGAGCGUGAGAGAGAGCGCACGAGAGACAGGAAAUGGUGAAGGCUUUUAUAAGUGGGCAGACAGUAACUCAAUAUUACAGCAUGCAGUUAGAGAGAGACGAGGGGAAUUUAGAGCUUAGUCUUACCACCAACAGGCACCACCACCAGCACCAUGUGCUCCCUUGAUAUGGUGGGCCGAGACGAAGGAGAUGUGGACCCGGAAGAAGCUGGCGGUAGAGGAGAUGCCAGGGUUGUGGUGGCCAGUGAUGGCACGGUGGUGUUGGUCGACGCCGGUGGAGAUGGUAGGGAGCCCAGAAGUGAGGUUUACAUUGAUUUCGACAAAAGGAUUGAAUGCAAUGCCGAAUGACACUUAAGAGACUAAAUGAGAGUGAAAGAGAGCGCCCAAGAGACAGGAAAUGGUGAAGGCUUUUAUUAGUGGGCGGACAGGAACUCAAUAUUACAGCAUGCGGUUAGAGAGAGACGGGGGGAAUGUAGAGCUUAGUCUUUUAGACUAAAACUAAACUAUUAAAUAAAAGCGUGAUUUAUUAUUUAAAUAUUUUAAUAGUUUGGCCUUUUGGCUAAUAGUAAGUAUGCAAAUUUAAAUGGGGAGACAAUUAAGUCUUAGAAAGAUUCAAACUAGAGACCUCUAACUCUGAUACCACUUUUGGCUAAUACUAAGUACGCAAAUUUAAAUGGGGAGACAAUUACGGCUUAGAAAGAUUCAAACUAGAGACCUCUAACUCUAAUACCAUGAGAGAUUUAAAGGUAAGCUUGGGAAUUUAGUUACUGUUUUGCUUUUCCAAAUAACAGAAAACUUCAAGUGGGCCUCCUUUGUAGGCUCGAGACGUAGGCCAUACCAAGUCAACAACACCCGCGUCAAGUCAACUCUCAUUUUUUUCCCCCCAUAAUUCUAUGAAGUAGAAGUCGAACGUGAUUCAUUAGCCCUCGGGUGGGGUUCGUGGGGAUUCUCAAAUUUAUAAGCGGGGGUCGUCUUUCAUUUAGGAAAGAUUCGCAGGUAGUUCAUAAGACAUUGCCCGACAGUUUUUUCGAAUAUUUUCAAACUAAUAGAAACAUGGCUGUUUAAAAUGAUAAGCCCCCAACUAUAUACUAUUUAUCCAAUGUUGUUCUCGGACCUGUAAUCUCGACAGAUUUAGCAGACAAAUCCCCUCGUUCUUGAUAUUUAGGAAUCGAAUACUCAUUGCACUUUCUUUAAAAAAAAAAGGAUCAGCACCUUAACUUCACUUUCUUUUGGACCGUCCAUAAAACAACUCAAAAAUUUUUGGUCGACCCUAAAACUGGUGUGGAACCGACUGGUUAGUUUCUAGAUUGGAUUUAGGGUCGAAUAGGAUAGUUUUUAGGUUCUUAGUUUGGAAGUAUCUAUCGUGAAAUUUGAUUAAUCCAAAUUAGACUGCUCUUUUUCCUUCUUUUCUUACUGCUAGUUAUCCAUUUUCAUUUCAAUUAGCAUCCUUAUGAGUUUAUGUCAUUAUCAAAUGUUGCAACCUCUCAUUAACUAACGUCCUCUAGACACAUCAAUCAAACAUGGAUUCCCACGUGGCGAGACCAUAUCCGUCUCCCAUUAUAACUUUCUCAGUGUAUAUGCUCUUCGAUUUAUUCCUUCAGGCAUUUUUGGGAGUGCUUUUGCCAUUAAGAGCUCUGAGCUUGCAUAUUGCCUACAGAUAUGACUAUCAAUCUGUCUCAUUCUUUACUGGACUCUUUUUUUUUUCUUUCACGCAAGAGCCUUUAAGGUCUAAUAACAGAGCUUGAACUUGAUUUAUACCUGAAUUUUUUUCCUUCCAAGAUUAACUCUUUACCCCCAUAUUUUCUCACAUUUGCAAAAACAAAUCUUUCUCCAUGGCUACUCUCUCUCAUUAAAAAAAUCAUGAAACCCUAGCAAACUUCCUUCUUUACUUCACACAAAAUCACCCAUCCCUCUUCUUGAAUAGCAAGUGUGAACAAGCCAAGAUUCCUCCCUAUAGAAAUCAUGGAACACUAGUUCUACGGAGCAUCUAGAUGGCCUCGUGCACAGUUCUGAGGAGUCCCACGAGCGUCACUCCAUUGCACAAAAGCAGAACAAUCCUUCUAAAUCAGCACUUUCCAAGAAAGGAGAUACUAAAACAAACCCAUAAUUUCUUAAACGCCUCCAAUUAACAUAAGAAAGAGUGUACAUUCUAACUUGCGCUUUCAAAGCACAACCCAAGAUUUUAUUAAAGUGCAAUUUAUAUGUAAUAUAAAGUAUUUCUAUAAUUAUGUUUCUAUCUAUAUCCUUAUUGUAAUUAGUCACUCGUAUAAAUACAUAUUAGUCACUCGAACCACCAUAAACACUUUGUCCUCAUAUUCUCUCUGACUCUGAAUAUCAACAUGGUAUCAUGGAUAUUCAAAGCCCUUUGUUAACUCUAAACAUCGACAUUGAUUUCGAACUACCAUGGGACCCAAAUUUGAGAAUGCCCCUCUAUGUUUAUUGCUCAGCCUCAUGGUUGUUCGAAGCCCUUUGGUCCCUCAUACACAUAGGGAGGUGUUCUUGGAUCUAGGGCCUUAUCUUACUUGUCAAAUCUAUAAUGAAGCUUGGCACACCGCACUACCACGUCAACAAAGAUUCAAUCAUGCCUUCAUUGCCACUGAUCUAUCAGACUCCUUCUCAGCUCUCUUGGUUGGUGAGACCUUUGAUCCAAUGUAGUAUCUUGACAGCGGAGUGUUGACACACAUAACUAAUGAUAUUGGUAAAAUUCUAGAACCUUUUAUGAUUUGACAUGUCUCGAUUGAUGGUGGUCGUUUAUUGCCCAUUAAACAAGUCAAAAUCCUCUUUAGAUACCAAUUCUCAAUUUAUCUCCCAUCUAUCAUGUUCCUAAUCUUACUAGCAAUCACUUCAGUCACCAAUUUUUUGCAGUAAAAUUUAUUGUGCAAUUAAUUUUAAUGGUUCAUCCAUGUCUUCCAAAGGACCAACAUACUAAGAAAGUUCUCCAAGCCAAUUUUUCUCAUGGUCUUUAUUCGAUUUCCAACUCAAUGGUAUCAUCUCAUGGCUCUCUGCUUCACUCAUUCGCUGGGCUUUUGAUCGUUUAUUUGGGUUCAAGUAUGAUUACUUGUACUUUCGAGUUUUUGAGUGAUACUUGUUAUCCUUUUCUUCCCUACCUCAUUUUGUGCCAUGUGUAUAUCUUGGGUAUACGCCAAUCGCAAAAGCUAUCGUUGCCUUAAUCAGCCAUUUGGUUGUCUUUAUCAAUCAUCAUGUUCAAUUUGAUAAAGAGAAUUUUCCCUUUUCACACAAUCCUCCGACCCCUAAUCCCAUAACCCACUGUUCAAGAUCAACUCCUUCACUUUAUUAUUAUUUUUUUUUUAUUUUCCUCCAAUCAAUCUAUUCUUCCUUCUACCUCCUUUAGCCCCCAAGCUUCUCAUCCGCCUCUUUCUUCUUCUUUAGCCCAACCUCCUAAUCCACCUCUCUCCUAUCCUUGGCUUGUCCAACCUGCUUUUAAUUCUAUUUCACCUCCAGCAGCCCUCCCUCCAAACCCACUCACCGUGUCCCAACCUGACAACUUUAUCCAGCUAAUCCACUUCCGUUUCUUCUCUUUCGACUUAUCUUGUGUAGAUUCGUGCCAAAUUUGGGUUUUUAAGGUCAAGGAAAAAUCCCAUGCAACAAUAACUUCAAAGCUCCCCUUGUUGCACAAAGACUUAAGCAACAGGUCGAACUAAACUAUGAUGAGACAUUCCAACCUCCCUAUUUUUCUCAUCUUGAGUUUCCCGAAUCAUAGGUGCCAUCUCAAAAAAACAAUGUAUGAUUUAAAACAAGCUCCACACGGAUGGUUUCAUCGCUUUAGUAGCUUUUUAUUAUUUUUGGGUUUUAAGGCUAUUAAGGCCAAUCCUUCAUUAUUUGUCUAUCCUUCUUCUCAAGGAGGUUGGUAUCUUCUACUCCAUGCUAAUGAUAUCCUUGUCACCACUGAUACUCUUCAGUUGUUACGGUUUUUUAUUACUCGACUCUCAUAGGAAAAUAUUAUGAACGAUCUUGGACCACUUCACCAUUUCCUUGGUAAUAAGGUUCAUCAUCACUCUAACAAUUCGUUUUUAGCUCAUUGCGCAAGCGUGGCCUUGUUAAGAUCAAGCCUUUAUCUAAACCUCUAGCCUCGAAAACGCUCUUGUCCGCUAAUUAUAGUAAGGUUUUUGCUUCUCCAAUGUUGUAUUGACAAAUGGUUGGUAUGUGUCCAUGACUAGACUAAAUAAUAGUGUUUUGUUGUGAACUUGAUUAGUCAAUUCAUGCACCAACCAAAAUUACCUCAUUUCCAAGCUGUCAAAACGUAUAUACCGGUGUUUAACUAUAGCACGUCCACCCAUGGAUUACUCAUCAAGUGGUAUUGCCUCACUUCAUUCAUCAUUUAUGCAGAUGCAAACUAGGCUAGAUGCUCCGAUACUCAACGGUCCACCUUAGGUUUUUGUAUUUUUCUAAGCACCAAUCUUGUUUCCUAGAGUGCCAAGAAGCAACCCACUAAGGCCCGUUCUAGUACAGAGGCUAAAUAUCGUGCCGCCAUUUGCUAUGUUACCGAACUAUUUAGAUUUGCCAUUUACUUUAUGAGUUUCGGUCCCCACUUUUAAUCCUCUCACCAUUUGUUGUGACAUCUUUGCCACAUAUCUCCCUUUCAAUCCCCUAUGUUUCAAGCUUACACCAAACACAUUAAGCUGGAUCAUCACUUCGUUCAAGAGAAGGUUACUUCCGGCGAUCUCUGUGUUCGUUACGUGCCAACAACAGAUCAGUUAGUAGUUAGCAAACAUCUUAACUGAGGAACUACCUAGCUGCUUCAUGCGCUAUUGAGAACCAAUCAAUCAGUUGUUGCACCUACUUCAGAUUGAGGGGAGUGUUAAUGUGUAAUUUAUAUGUAUUAUGGGGUAUUUUUGUAAUUAUGUUUCUACCUGUAUUCUUUUUCUAAUUAGUCUCUCCUGCAAAUAAAGAUCAUACAACCCUAAUUAGAAUUGAGCCACCAUAAACACUAUCAUCAUAUUCCCUCGAUUUUAAACAUCACUAGAAUGUCUUAUUUAGGUUCCACAAGACAUUUUCCUUUUGGUCUUCCCUUAGCUUUUCUAUAUUGACAACAACAAGCAACCCAUGUUUAAAUAUGUGUUCUCUUAAGAGGGUUUGUGCCAGUCACACUUUAUCAUUUGGUGCAUGUAUAUGUUUCUUUGCUCAGUCCACAACUAUAUUCGUAUGAUCUCAUCGAAUAAUACCUUAGGUGCUAAUGAAACUAUUUUAGUGAAUCUCUUGCAUUUCAUUUCUAUGUCUUUUUGUUCCCGAUUGUUUUCAAAGUUCUCAUCCACGAAACUUUUUGUCGCAUCGUCCCUAGCAAACAUCCUUAAAACCCAAGCAAAGCAGAUGUAUAGAGAUAAUCUAAUCACUGAAUUGUCACGCAC
rnacentral:lncRNA from 1 species